rnacentral:lncRNA from 1 species
ACAAUGGGCCUUCUACGGGCCAUAGACACAAUGGGCCUCCUACGAUCUGUAUCAUAAAUGAGCCUUAUAUGGGCCAUAUGAUCGAUUGGCCAAACAUGCGCCAAUAACAGACUGUAUUAUGGCCAUAAACGGGCUAGAGUUGGAAUUGUCCGUUCAUGGGCCGACCAUAACGGGCCGUCGUUAAUAGGCCAUAUCUGAUGACGUUAUGAAAAUGGCCCAAUGUAUAAACAAGCCACAAAUGGGCCGACUGUAACAACAGGUUGAAUUUGGCCCAUAAGCAGAAAAUGACAGUAACGGGCCGUAAGUAACCGAAUGCUGGAAAUGAGUGUCGGUGUCAAAACCGGCGGAUCUCGGGUAGGGGGCCCGAACUGUGCGUCUAAGGCUAAUGGUAAUAGGAGACUGGGGACACGAUGUUUACCCAGGUUCGGGCCCUCUCGAUGGAGGUAAUACCCUACUUCCUGCUUGAUUGAUCUUGAUGAUAUGAGUAUUACAAGAGUUGAUCUACCACGAGAUCGUAGAGGCUAAACCCUAAGAGCUAGCCUAUGAUUAUAGUUGUCCUUGUCCUAUGGACUAAACCCUCUGGUUUAUAUAGACACCAAAGGGGGCUAGGGUUACACAGAGUUGGUUACAGAGAAGGAGAUCUAACAUCCGAAUCGCCAAGAUUUCCUUCCACGCAAAGGAGAGUCCCAUCCGAACACGGGACGAAGUCUUCAAUAUUGUAUCUUCAUAGUCCAACAGUCCGGCCAAAGUAUAUAGUCCGGCUGUCCGGAUACCCCCUAAUCCAGGACUCCCUCAGUAGCCCCUGAACCAGGCUUCAAUGAAGAUGAGUCCGGCGCGCAGAGUGUCUUUGGCAUUGCAAGCCGGGUUCCAUCUCCGAAUACUCCAAAGUAAUUUUCGAACACUUAAAUCAUGUCCGGCUUUGCAAGACAAAUUUCACAUACCACCAUAAAGAGAAGAAUAUUCCACAAAUCUAAUCCGCUGACAACUUUAGAUAACAUGACAUCACACCAUGGCUGGGUCUUUAUUCGAACCGUUUUCUCACAACCAGCCACCGCACAUAUUGCGAGGCGGUUUCCUUGUCACCUCUUGUCGAAGCAGAGAUCAUGUCCCCUUAUCACGGGAUUCUCAUUAAUACGGGUACGGGUAACCCAACCGUGCCAUUUAACGUGGCGCUUGGAAAAUAAGCGAUUUUAACAGGCAAGUGGGGAGGCGCACAGUUUUCGCCGCCUCUAUAAAGAGUCAAGGAUCCCCCAUUUUUACCCACGCCUUCUUCCUCCUUUGCUCAUCCAUUCUCGCACUCUCGACCCCAGCGCCCAAGUUCUCACCUUCUCCGUAGGACCAUUCGCAGCAUGUCCGGAGCGGCAGGCAAGUGGAUGGCCUCCUCCGUCACGGAGGAGGACAUUACCAAGCUUCGGGCGGCCGGAUACCUAGCCGCAAACGUCGCGCACAGGCUUCCAGCGGAGGGACAUAUCGCCCCCACUCCAAAGUCUCGGGAAAUAGUAGUGUUCCUCUCUCAUUUCAUCCACGGACUAGGAUUUCCACUUCACCCAUUCGUCCGCGGGCUCAUGUUUUACUAUGGGCUAGAUUUUCAUGAUCUAGCUCCAAAUUUCAUCCUCAACAUCUCAGUGUUUAUCAUCGUGUGCGAGGCCUUCCUCCGCAUCAAGCCCCACUUCAGCCUGUGGCUACGAAUCUUCUGCGUGAAGCCAAAGAUCGUGAGCGGCCAGCAAGCAGAGUGCGGAGGCACCAUGGUGGGCAGAAUGCCCAAUGUUACAUGGCUUGACGGCUCCUUCGUGGAGACCGUGAAAGGGUGGCAAUCGGGGUGGUUCUACAUCACCGAGCCACGCGAUGCCAACUGGGCGGCGGCCCCAGAAUUCCGAUCCAGCAUCCCCAUGCGGCUCACUUCCUGGGAAAAGAAGGGCCUGGCCUGGGGUGAACCUGCAGAGCUCACUGGACUUCAGAACUGCAAAAAAACAUGAUAGACAAGAAGAUCAAGCUCGUCAACGUGGUCCAGUCCAGGUCAUGCUCGUCCACCGGAUCCUCCCGUGUCAAAGACGGACAUUAAAUAUGUGGGAGUUCGAUCCGGCCGAACACCAGAUGCUGCGAGAGCUCUUCGACGGGACGCAUAAGGACGUCUGGAAGGUGUUGUUCAAGGCCGCCAAAGUUCCUCCUCCCACUUCCGAGGACCGCGGACUCAGCGCCACGCGACUCGCCAAUCUGGUGAGUUCCUUGAAUAUCACAAGAUGUACCUUUCCCAACAUAUUCGUGGGAGGAUUUUAAGUCACCAUGCUUAUCCAAACAGGAAUACGCGGUGACGGCGGAGCAGAUCGACUGUCCAGAUCCGCUGCCGGAAGAUCCGGCAACCGCACUCCUAACAAAGAUGCUGGUUCCAGCGCCUUACAAGGCGCCGGAGAAGAAGGCCGAAAAGAAGGCCACGGGGACCAGGAAGGGUCUCCAGCGCAAGGUUGCACCGGCCGCCUCGUCCGAAGACGAUGAGUCACGCUCCUCCCACGAAGGGGAGGAGAAGAAGAGGAAGGCCGCCCCAUCCGGGGAGGCCGAAAGGUCCAAGAAAGCGGGUACGGGGACCAGGAAACGUCUCUGGCACAAGGCCGUAAAAGACUCGUUAUCCGAGGACGGCGAGGCAGAUUCCUCCCAUGGAGACGGGGGGAAACAUGAGGAAAUUCCCCCUUCCUGCACUGGGGAGGAGAAGAAAAGAAAGGCCGCCCCACAGGGGGAGGCUAGGAUGCCGAAGAAGGGAAAGGCAUCCCUUCGGGAUCACUCCACCACGGUCGCCUAUAGCGAGGAGGAGUGGCUGCCCAGGGGCAAGCCCCUGGCGAAAUCGUAAGUAUCCGCACUAUGUAAUACUUUUCAUGCGCCUUAACUUCAUAGUUUGUAAUAACGACGAACACGCAUAUGCAGUCCGGCUGGGUCCCAUCUCGAGGUAUCCUCUUCGGAUGGAUCUCUGAGUGAGUCGGAGAUGAAUUCACUCCCGACAGCCACCUCCCCUCGGCCCGCAGAUGACACUGGGGUGUUGUCCCAAAGGAUACCGGAACAGGGGGCGGUGCUUCUGGAGAUGCCCCAAGGUGAAAUUCCAGACACCGGGCACAUGGGGGGUAAGAUCCCCAUAGACUAUGCUGACGAGAGCCGCAGUAAGUUGGGAUCCCAGCCGGACACUACAUCGGAACCUCCAAAGGUUCCGGAUUCAGGUAGGCAGCCCCUCGCUAAGGAGGACGAGCCGGCCGUGCCUAUGACCUCCGUCCCACUGGAGGCAUCGGAUAAUUUGCUGGAAGUGCUUCGCGGUGCUUCCAUUGAUGAAGAGCACCAUACUCUUAUGAUUACGGUGAUUGAAAAGGUUCAGUCUGCCAAAACUGGAUUGACCGAAGCCUGCACCAGCCUCCUAACAGGCUUUGAGGUAAGUAAUUGAAAGUGUGAGAAAUUAUCACCCAAUAGACAGUAGACCUGAUGCUCUGUUUGGUGUUCGGAAAGAAAAGCCAAACAGAGGGUCAACUUUAAAUCGCAGGAGUCUAACAGUACAUGUUUAUUUGAAUAAGCAGGCGUUGCUGCUGGCCGCUGCUGCCCGCACAGUGGAGGUCGCCGGACUCAAAUGGGACCUGAAGCAGGCCGAAGAAGAGCUCAGCCUCACGAAGAGGCAGCUCGAAGAGAACAAAGGCAAGUGAUACCCUGUUCGUGUGUCAUAUACAGGAAAAAAUUGGUGAUGCUAACAAAAAGCAUCAUGAUUUUUUAAUAGGGGCCACGACCCAAGUGGUGGUCCUGAAGAAAGCAUUAUCCGAGGACGAAGAUGAAGCGGCCACGGAGCGUACUGAGCGUGAAAAGCAAGAUGCUCAGGUGAGCGAGGUACAGCAAGAGCUCCAGGAGUUCGGCAAGAAGUUCGAGUCCUUGGAGCAUGACUUCAAGACACAAGAGUCUGAGCUUGCAAAGGCCCUCCAGAGUGCGAAAGAUGCCAAGGCCGAAGCCCAAAAGGCCCUCCAAGAAAUCAAGGCAGCCAAGAUGAUAGCGGCGGGUAAGGCAUUCAUUAUGCAAAGCAAGCAUGUGGAGGAGACAUUUCUUUUACUUACCCGAAUUCGGAGCUCUCCAGGGGCAUUCACAGAUCUGCCACGCAUCAUAUCGGAUGCCACGGAGUUCUACCAUGCCGAAGAGGGGAUCUCAAUGGAGAAGCUAUUCUGGUCCCAGUAUACUGGAGCCGAACACCCAAUGCCCCUAAGUGACCAACUGAAGCUAUUGGUCGAACUCCACAAGGCGGCCGAACUGGCCAUGAAGGACCUCAUAGUCCGGAUGUGACAUGGUGAGCCCCUGCCCGACAGCUACUUCGGCCUUGUAAAGUGAAUGGUAAAUGUCUGUCCGCGGCUAGAAGUUAUUAAGCAAUCCGUUUGCAUUAAGGGUGCCCACCGGGCCUUUGCCCAUGCAAAGAUGCAUUGGGCCAAACUGGAUGCAGAAAAGCUGGUGAAGGAUGGACCGCCGGAGGGUAAGGCACAUCGCUACCCCGAGAAUGGCGUUAUGAAAGGUGCUCGCCUUGUGGCCGAUGAAUGUACCAAGGACAUAAUUUUUGAGUGAAUGUACCCAUGUCCUUCUGUAAUAUGAAAAUGAAUUCGUGUGCGUGAUGUAAUGCUUUUGGAUUUAAGAUAUUACCUUCUGUGCGACUGUUUAUAAAAUUUUGAAAGUACGCCAGUCGUCGGCUUCCGCCCCCAUGUAACUAGUACUGGGGUGUUCAUGGAAAACCCAAACACUCUUUAUCCAAAUUCUUGGUCCUUUAAGGAGGUGUUUAGCGCAGCGAACCAGGCAAUUGGACUAUGCGGCUUUGUAACUCUCACUUAGCCAUAGAAGUCUACAAUUUUAAAUUUUGGCAAAGCCCCUAGUAUUCGAAAAGCCGAAUUGGGGCGCUAUACACGCCUAAAUCGGACCAGGCCGAUUCCUCGCCUGAAGCGGAAACAAUCUUUAAGGAUUUAAGACCUCUCGAACAGCGACCAGCUCUCGCCGCAUCAUGACAGUCAGUUUUCGGCUUUCUCUACUGAGGUGCUCAUUCGGAAGAACUGGGACACAAUCGCAGUAGUUCUCCCUGCGCUACCUUAGCCGAUAUAAUGGAACGUAAGGUGCCACAACAAGGGAGCCAGGCAAAUCCAACUAUUGACCCAAGACAUGAUUCGGAGCUGAUGCAUAUAAUGCUAUAAGUUCGGGGUGUCGCACUGUCGAAAGUGUUCAGACUUUUCUUGUCGUGUUAUGGGGCACGAUAAAGCCCCUGGCGAACAUAACGUACCAAAGUGUACGGGUGCAGAAUUUAAAUAAGCAGUCAAGGGAAAGUAUAGAGAAGGUAAUAAUAAGAUGAUGCUAUAUAUUGUUUCCCAUUGUUAUUUAAAUAAUACGUCAAGGCGUAUGUGUACAAUUUAAUGCGAUAAGCAAAAAUAGGACUAUUUGAAAUGUCCUAUCCAAGGGCAGGCCGCAUGCGGGUAUGUAAAACAGGUAUAACAAUCAUUAACAGAGACCACCUGGGUAUUCUCUUGUGCGCAAAGCCUCUUGCCUCCUUGGUUUUCCCUCCUCUGAUGAGUCCGAUGAUCAGGUUCUCUGAAGGGGCUGCCCGAAAGUAGGGUCCUGAUAGAGAAAGAAGGUUACAAAGGUAUGCGGGCCUCGUGGUGGUUGAACCACACUGUGGACCGCAUCGUCAUCGCGCCUCCGCUUAUGCCCAUGGUAUUUUGAGUGCGUAAAUGUGUACGCGCGGCACAAAUGCCGCCUGAAUGGGGCUGGGGCGGAGGUCAAGUUGCUAAUUGCGCUCUUUGCGUGCCUGACAAUCCUGUUGCAGAGAACUCCGGACUCGCUUGACGGUGUUCGGGGUUGUCAUCACCGAAUUGGCGGUCUGCCGAAAAAGCCUGCUUUGUACUUCUGCCGCGAGGGCUGCAGUGUGCUCUUCCGUACGGAGAGAGCGGUUUGUGUUUCCAUUGACUAUUAUAACCCUGCGAGGUCCUGGCAUCUUGAGCUUAAGGUAUGCAUAGUGUGGUACCGCAUUGAAUCGAGCGAACGCGGUUCGUCCAAGCAGUGCAUGAUAGCCACUAUGGAAAGGGACGAUAUCAAAGAUUAACUCCUUGCUUCGGAAGUUAUCCGGAGAUCCGAAGACCACUUCCAGUGUUAUUGAGCCCAUACAACGGGCCUCUACCCCUGGAAUUACACCUUUGAAGGUGGUUUUGGUGGGUUUGAUCCUUGAGGGAUUGAUGCCCAUUUUGCGCACUGUGUGCUGAUACAGCAGGUUUAGGCUACUGCCACCGUCCAUAAGGACUCGUGUGAGGUAGAAUCCGUCGAUUAUUGGGUCAAGGACCAAUGCGGCUGAACCACCGUGACGGAUGCUGGUAGGGUGGUCGCUACGAUCGAAAAUGAUCGGAGAGGAUGACCAUGGGUUGAACUUUGGGCGACUGGCUCCAUCGCAUAGAUGUCCCUUAGUGCAUGCUUCUGUUCCUGUUUGGGAAUGUGGGUGGCAUAGAUCAUGUUUACCGUUUUCACCUUGGGGGGAAAUUUCUUCUGUCCCCCAGUGUUCGGGCGCCGGGGCUCCUCGUCAUCAUCGCUGUGCAGCCCCUUGUCCUUGUUUUCGGCAUUCAACUUGUCGGCAUGUUUGAACACCCAACAAUCUCUGUUAGUGUGGUUGGUUGGCUUAUCAGGGGUGCCGUGAAUUUGGCACGAGCGGUCGAGUAUGCGGUCCAGACUGGAUGAUCCCGGAUUAUUUCUUUUGAAUGGCUUUUUUUGCUGACCGGAUUUUGAGUUGUUGAAUCCGGCAUUGACUAUCGUGUCUUCGGCGUUGUCGCCAUUGUUCCGACGCUUAUGUCUAUUGCGGCGUGGCUUGCCAUUACUGUCGCGGACAUCUGAAGUGCCGAAGUUUCUUGGCGUGGUGCUACUGCAAGCCAGCCAGCUGUCCUCUCCCGCGCAAAAGCGGGUCAUGAGUGUCGUGAGGGCCGCCAUGGACUUCGGUUUUUCUUGGCCGAGGUGUCGGGCGAGCCACUCGUCGUGGAUAUUAUGCUUAAAGGCCGCCAGGGCUUCGGCGUCCGGACAGUCAACAAUUUGGUUCUUUUUAGUUAGGAACCGAGUCCAGAAUUUCAUGGCUGACUCUUCGGGCUGUUGGGUAAUGUGACUUAAGUCACCAGCAUCCGAUGGCACACGUAGGUGCCUUGGAAGUUGUCGAGGAACGCGUCCUCUAGGUUUUCCCAAGUGCCGAUGGAGUUUGCCAGCAGGCUAUUUAGCCAAUGUCAGGCUGGUCCUUUGAGCUUAAGGGGAAGAUACUUGAUGGCAUGUAGGCCAUCGCCGUGGGCCAUGUGAAUGUGGAGAAGGAAAUCGUUGAUCCAUACCGUGGGGUCUAUUGUGCCAUCGUAUGAUUCGAUGUUUACGGGUUUAAAUCCUUCUGGGAAUUCGUGAUCCAUUACUUCAUCGGUGAAGUAGAGGGGGUGUGCGACGCCUCUAUGCCGGGCUAUGUUACUGCGCAGUUCGACUAAGUCUGGUCGGUUAUGUUUGGCCCGGCCGGACUAAUUGUUAGUGUAUCCGGCAUGACGGUCAUCGUCAUCUGUUGGGGUGCGCCCCCAUGAUCCGUAGAUCGAUCUUGGUUGUCCUGCUUUGUUUUCCAAUAUGUCUCGCAGGUCUUGCGUAUUGCCUCGGGCAGUAGUGUAUUGGCGUCAGGGUGCGGGCUGGUAUUCGGGCUAAUACACCAUUUUAUCUCGGCCACGAGGUGGCCGGUCAGCCUUGUCCUGUGCUGGUAGUGUAGGCUCUAAGGCCUCCUCCUCGAGUUGAGGUAGCAACUUGUUCUUUGGGUAACCCUUGGUGGGGCGCUCGAGUCCGUAUUCCUCGGCCGCCAGGACCUCAGUCCAUCUAUCUGUGAGCAGAUCUUGAUCAGCUUGGAGCUGUUGCUGCUUCUUUUUCCGGCUUCUUGCAGUGGCUAUAAGCUGGCGCUUGAAGCGCUCCUGCUCUAUGGGAUCCUCAGGCACGCUGAAUUCAUCAUCACCGAGGCUCACCUCGUCUUCGGAGGGAGGCAUAUAGUUGUCAUCCUCCAAAUAUCUGUCCGUCGCCUGUUCAUCUGAGCUAACCUCCCCGUAUUCCUGUUCGGCCUGCUUGAAGGUAGGCUGAUCGGGAUUGUAUUCAUCUUCGGCACCAUCCGGAUUUGUUUUGUCUCCUUUGCUGGUAUUACUGUGGCGGAGCUUAGAGCGGCACCGGUGACGCCCAUGCUUUGAUUGCUUCCCUAAGGGGUUAUCCUCUAUUGCCUCAUCGCCAUUGUUUUCUUUGGGGGUGUCCACCAUAUAUAUAUAUAUAUAUAUCAUAUGAGGAGGUGGUUGUCCAGCGCCCUGUGGGCGGUGGUUCCUGUUCUUCUCCUGCAUCGUCAUCCAUACCAUCGAUGUCUUCGGAGUCAAAGUCAAGCACGUCGGUUAAAUCAUCCACAGUGGAACUGAAGUGGGUUGUGGGUGGGUAACGAAUUUCUUCGUCAUCUACUUCCCACUCGAGCCAGACAUAGUUCGGCCAAGAGUCUCCUGACAAAGAGAGAGACCUUAAUGAAUUCAGCACAUCGUUGAAGGGUGAGUGCUGAAAGAUAUCCGCAACGGUGAACUUCAUUACCGGAGCCCAAUCGGAUUCGAUGGGCCCGGGUGCGUGCGGUCCGGAACCUACAGCCGGACACAAGUCUGGGGGUCCGGUGACACAGACUUCCUUAGAGGUGGAGUCUGUGUUCGUCUCUACCGCUGAUGAGUAUGCGGCCUCCGUGGCGGGGUCCAUCCACCCAUCCUCGGAUGACGCGAUCUGCCCCGGAUUUAGGUCCAGAGCCACUGCAGGUGCGUUAUCCCGAACACUGUCCGACAGCCGAUCUAAGUCGUGCCCGUCGUGACCGUCCGGCGCUCCUGGUGUAGGCCCGAAUCCGUCGAAGAUCAAGUCCCCGCGGAUGUCGGCCGUGUAAUUCAGGUUUCUUAACCUGACCUGAUGGCCAGGGACGUAGCUGUCGAUCUGCUCCAGAUGGCCAAGUGAAUUGGCCCGUAGUGCGAAGCCGCCGAAUACGAAGAUCAGUCCGAGGAGAAAAGUCUCACCCUGGACCGCGUCGUUAUUGAUGAUUGAAGGAGUCAUCGAGCCUUACAGCGACGACACAGAGGAACUCUCAAUGAAAGCACCAAUGUCGGUGUCAAAACCGGCGGAUCUCGGGUAGGGGGUCCCGAACUGUGCGUCUUAGGCUAAUGGUAACAGGAGACUGGGGACACGAUGUUUACCCAGGUUCGAGCCCUCUCGAUGGAGGUAAGACCCUACUUCCUGCUUGAUUGAUCUUGAUGAUAUGGUUAUUACAAGAGUUCAUCUACCACGAGAUCGUAGAGGCUAAACCCUAAGAGCUAGCCUAUGAUUAUGAUUGUCCUUGUCCUACGGACUAAACCCUCCAGUUUAUAUAGACACCGGAGGGGGCUAGUGUUACACAGAGUCGGUUACAGAGAAGGAGAUCUAACAUCUGAAUCGUCAAGCUUGCCUUCAACGCAAAGGAGAGUCCCAUCCGGACACGGGACGAAGUCUUCAAUCUUGUAUCUUCAUAGUCCAACAGUCCGGCCAAAGUAUAUAGUCCGGUUGUCCGGAUACCCCCUAAUCCAGGACUCCCUCAAUGAGCCCAAGAAUAAAUGGGCCCUGAGAAGGGCAAAAGAUAACAUGGGCUGGAAACGGCCCACUGGAAUAAUGGGCCAUUAAUGGGUAUAAAGUGAUACGAUGUUCAUUACGGGCCAGUUUCACCACGGGUUGUUAAUGGGCCAAGAGUUACAAAGGGCCUCAUAUGGGCCGAAAGACGCCAUGGGCCAUACAUGGGCCGGAAGUUAAAACGGGCUGGAAUCAUAUUGGAUGGCCCACAUGACGCUACUGGGCCUAAUUUGGAUAGGUCGUAACAGGCCCUGGGGUAGCGGGCUGUAAAUGGGCUAUAUGCAAACAGGCUGUUAACAGGCUUUUAGUGGGCCGGCCCGCCACCUUUUGACCAAGUCAAACGGGACGGCCUUUUCACGGGAAUGGGCCUCUGUUGGGCCAUGCCACGUGUCGACGUAUCAUAGGCGCCUUCCGUCCAAUGAGUGGAUGACAUCUGUCCCGACGGUGAGCCGACACGUGUUUCCUCCAGCCAAUGAUAAUUUUAUACGUGGAAAAUCUCCAUUGGCCAGGGCUAUUAAUGGGUUAUCGGAUCCAAAACCGGACCCGAUAGCUUAAUGGUGUUCCGUUACGGUGGAUUCCACGUGUCGGUCACCCUUGACGAAAACACUUCUAUGACGCACGAUUUAUCGUCAUGGAAGUGGACACUUCCAUGAUGAUAGUUUUGGUAAUGUCAUGGAACACUUCUACGACGGAUAGGUAUGACUAUCUUGAUUCUGUCAUAAAAUCGUCAUGGAUGUACAUGCAUGACAAAAAACGCCACCUACUGUGACAAACACGUAUCAUCACGGAAGUGUAUUUUUUUUGUAGUGAUGGUAGAUUGGUGUGACUUAGGAUCGGGGUCCUGAUAGCUUUGGUAUCAGAGCCUGAUUUCCUGUAGGAUUACCAAGCCAAACUUGUCGAAGUUGAGUCUAGAAAUUCUUUAGUUAUAUAAAGGAAUUGAUUGUGGAUGGGAACGUAAGGCUCUUUUUAAUCCUUUACCUUAUGCCUUCUAAUCUGAGUCAUCUUAUCUUUCCUACGGGGUUAAGGAACUAGGCUUUCUCUUCUUUCUAUCAAGAUCACGUGUUACUAAUCCGUAGAUUUAUAAGAUUGUUGGACAUAAGCCUCAGUUCAGUUCCUACUACUUUCGUGUGUUCAUAGCCGAUCUCAGAACCUUGAUAUUGUGAUGUUGAGUGGUCAGGCCACUAAUUUGCAGGAUGUCUCAAAUCUUUUUGAGCAUUUAUAAUCGUUAUGUUGUCUGAGUCAUCCCAGGUUUCUAAAUAGUCCGAUGCACUUGCAAAUCUUUCCUCCAUGUUCCCGAUGUCCUUUUGGGCCAGAUUAAGCACACUAAUUGGUGUGUUGAGGUAUUCCAUUACCUCGACAUAUAUGUUGGAGCUAUUAUUAUGACCCUAGGUGUCUUAGUUGAUCACCUAGCAAUCUAGCCAUGUUUUGUGUUUCCAGUGUGAUGAUUCUGGCCAUUACCCUUGAAAGCAUUCCGUGAUGCCAUUUAGUUAGUAGGCGUUCUACCCCUGGGUUAUUGAACCCGAGAUCCACCCUACUUACCUCUUGUUGAUAGUGUUUGCUAGUUCCUUUAGGACAUUAGUAACCUUUGCGAUAGUCCUCGAGGUUCGUGGUAUAUCCUUCUCCCAAAUACCAUGAACUGCUUAUGGCAGAAUUUCCUCGCUGAACCGAAAGAUCACAACUAGAGUGCUCUUGACGAGUUCUCGGUUCUAUGUUGUUACUCUGCCAGUUCUACCUUUCUGCAUGGGUUGUCCAAAAAAAUAUGUUGAACUCGUUCGACAUGCUAAUCUAUGCAUCCACAACUCAGAAAAUCAUAUGUUCUUUUGGGUUGUCCUUCUUUAGUUGUUUUCUGGCCCUCGUAUAUCAAUUGAUAGUCAGGAGUAGUUUUGCAUUCGUGUUCAUCGAUGCCUACUACUCGGAAGUACCACCGGGUCGUCACCUGACCACUAUGUUGAGUUCGUGAUCAAGUUGGUUUUCUUGUAAACCACCCUUUCUCCAAGAAUUUGUGUUGGAUACCCUGAGCUAGUUGGUUAAGCUAAACAACAACUUGGAGAGUUGGAAGAUAAAAGCUUGUCCAAUUCAGUUCAUUCCAAGGGAUAUCCUUGUGCGUGUGUGUUGAAGAGAGAUGAUAUCUUCAUCAAUUGGUCCUCGUGAUCAGUUGUUGGAUCUAUUGUCUUGUCAAACCCUUGAUUUGAGUGUGGGCUAUCAUCAAAUCAAAUCAGAACCAAUGAUGUUUUUAAUGUUGUCUUACUCGUGGUUGAUCCCUCGAGCAUACACCAUUAUAUCCUUUGGUCUGACCAAUGCUAUCACUUGUUCACAUAAUUAUGGAAUUCCAUCUUUAUGGAAAUUCUGAUGAUUGUUGUUGGGCUCAUCAGCAACAAUUUUAUCUCCUCCAGGAUUCAAGUUGAACAUCCAGCUAGUGUUGGAAACUUUGUAAACAAUCUCUUCGUGUUCUAUUCAUGAAGCAUAUGUCCGGAUGAAAGAAGUGACUUCCUCUAACUCAUGUGCAUUUGAUGCAAGUUGCCGCCGUGAAUUCGGGAAAGUUAGUUUUGCUUCCUCUGGAAUCAUCCCAAGUCAGUUAUGCAUAUGUGCGAAGUAUUCUGUGGUCUGGAGACUUGCAACCUUCAUUCUAUAUGUAUCCCUAGCACACCAAGCCACUGAUUGACUUGUUCAAGAUAAAGGAGUCCGUUCUAAGGUGAAAUCUUUGGACUUCCACGCGUGGAGACUCCAAUGUCAUUGAUGAUGGUUCCCUACCUGAACUCGGUAAUGUUUUAUUAUAACACUACUACGUGGUCAUGCUUGUCUGGGAUAGCGUGUUCACAUGUGUGUAGCAGAACCAGCUCAUGUUUUGGAGCUUGCUAUCAUAGUUCAUUCCUCGAUAAUCUCGCAACGCCAGCUCGUUGAUUUGUGUUGAAAACUUUCAUUUUCCCUUCCAGACUUGAUGAGUAUGGAAUAUUCUGACACCAACCAUAUCUGAAUCUUAGGGUGAUAUGAUGGUUGGAACGUUUCCCAAGAACUAUAAUAUUGGUCUCUUUGUAACCCGGUAAACUGGAUGUCGUGGCUAACCCAUCAAGCUGGAAGACCUAUUAUUGUAGUAUCUUGAUUGAGGAAGUUGGUCACCUCCCCAUAAGGAUUUUGUAGGAUUUACUUUAGUAGUUAUUCCUUAUGGAUUCUUGAGCUCCCGAAGUCUAACCUUUUACUCGAUGUUCUAGAUAUCAAACCAUAUCUAUGAAUGGGUUAUGCUAGCACAUCAAGGAGAACAUUAGAAGUGGAGUGCUAAAUGUCUCUCGGUCGAUCAUCCAGAUUUUGACACCUUGGACUCGCUAAGGUGAAAUCUGAGAAGGUGUUAUCUUCCUUUGCAUCUGCAUCGUCCAUCCCUAUUCAUCAUGGUAGUAUGUUAUGUUACCAGGAUCCUUGACACGGAUAUUGGUAAAACCUUGAUGAAUAUGGAAAUGCUCAAGUUCUUGAGAGCACGCGCAAGCCCUAGGUUUUAUCAACGACAUUAAUUGAAUAGUGCUCUCAAUUUCCUCGGUUAUGCUAUAACCUUUCAAACAGUGGAUUCACUCUCUACUGUUGGGUUUCUUCCCAAUUACUAGAAUCAUUCCCAGCAUUUGCAUUUUGUUCCCAGCUUGCACUGCCAUGGUGCCAAUGUUCCAUAGGCUUCCCUCUUAGUAGUUGUUGUUCAGGAUCAUCUUUAGAAGUGGUCCUACCAUGGGUCCCAUCCAUUUUCGAUGAUAAGAAAAAAUCAUCCAUUGCAUUGUCCUCAACAAGGUAGUCCCCAUCAUACAUUCUAGUUUCAGUAUGCCAUUCUUUAGGACUACUUCAAAUGAUCGAUUGUGAUUUGCCUUAAGCUGGUAUAAAGAUCUUCAAUGAUCUAUGUAUCAAAAGUAAUUCCUUUUGCCACUUAAGGUAAUGAUUCCACGAGUCACCUUCCCUGAGGUGCCCCGUUAUGAAAUCAUGGCAAUGAACUCCUCGCUAUUUUGACCUCGUCCGCAAUUUUCUUAAAUGUGGAAUUGUCGCCUACCUAGUGAAUCUUCGUCAUCUGUUUCACUCCAUCCCUCUAGAUGCAUGCUUCGUGUCUCAGCUCGAAAGAUGUUGCUAUGUCUCGUUCUGUGAGCUAAUCAUCGGUUGCUCGAUCUUCGAGAAGAUUGAUUCUUCUAGAGUUUCCUUUCUUCCCGUUAUCGUGUUGGAUGGAGUUCUCAGAGCAAGACAUCGAGACAAAGGUGAUGAACGAAUCAACGCUCUUAUGAAUUACAACCUGGAUCGUGAAGAUUGUGCUAGCUUCGUGUUCCCUUCUGUCUGCUUACCCUACGUCUUGAAUCUCGGGAUGAGAUUCUUGUUUAGUGGGGGUGAGUUGUCACAUCCCUAGUUCUGGUAUGCUCUGGCUAGCUAGUCAUGUGUGCAUCAUGUCUAAGUUUUCAAAUGAACUUGAAAUGGGGAUUGAUAAACCCUAGCACCAAAUGAAAUUUAAAUAGGUUCAACUAAAAAUAUUUUUCAGUGACCCCAAACUAGCUUUCAAAAAUGUUCAUCAUUUUUGGAAAAUUGCUAGAAACAGUAACCAGAGAUGAUGCACAUUUUUCACGAGAUUUUUGGACUCUGAAUUAAUUCAUUAUGUAUUUGAAUUGGAGGAAAUAUAUUCCAUAAAUAUUUGUAAUGCUCCAAUAAUUCUAGGAAGUUGUGAGGGGCUCUGGCAUAAUCCACAUAGUCCCUACAAAAAUGAUCAGAAUAAAAGAAAUUGAUUUAGUAUUUUUACUAAAUCGGGAACAACUUACAGAAAACAAAAUAGAACAGAAAAUAGAAAAGGAGGAAAACCCACGUGGCAGCCGACUUACCUGGCGCUCCUGUGCGGCUAGCUAGACGACCCAGCCCACCAGGGGCAGCGCUGUCUUCUUCCUCCUGCCAGGAGGAGAAGCAACAGCGUGCCCGGCGCACAGCCGGCCGCGGCCACGUCUCAUCGCCACCUCCUGCUUCCUCUCUUCGCCCUGACGACGCCAUGACACCCCGGACCUCUCUCACUUCUCCGCCCCCGUGCUCAUCCCCUCCUCUGCUGCUCUCUCUCGCGCGCGCCCGAGCGCUUCUGUCACUGCUGUCGCAGAGCACCACGCCCACCGUCGUCCCUCUGCCCCGCGGUCGUGUCCUAUAGCUCCUCCUCGAUGCCGUGAAGCUCCAAGACGAAGAACACGACCUCGGAUGCCUGGAGCCGUCGCCCUCGAGCUCGUCACCGCCGCAUCUGGCCACCGGAGGUCGUUGUCGAUACAUGUGCUGGAGGUCAUCCCCGAGCCCGUUGUUCUGCUCUGCAUGUGCGCUGUGAGAUUCUCUCUGUUUCCCCUCCCCCACAUUGCUCCAGUCCAUGCUGCAGCUGCUCUCCGCGAGCUCCCGCACCGCCGUCCACCAUUGUCAUUGCACGCGUAGCCCUCGAGCUCCUCCUCUCGUAGACAUGCCCUUGGCAUGUUCCUGGUGCUCCCAGGAACCCAUGGAUCCCCUCGGCUACUCUCGCUAUGCCCCAUAGUGUCGCGAUGAUCGAACCCGUUCUUCGGCCGCCGCGAAACCUCGAUGCCGGCGUAGUUCCCGGCCACACCAGGUCCAACUAGUGGCACCACUAGAUGCGGCGCACUUCCAGGAGUCGAGCAAGCCUAGCCGCACGUCGAAGCAUCGCCAGACAGUGAUUUCCGAAGAUCUCCGCCGCAGUUUCGGUCACCGGCGGUUAAACGCCGGCGGGCUGACGUGGCUGAGUCAUUAGCUGCUAAUUACCCCACUAAUCAACCCCUUGAGCCACUGACACAUGGGCCCAUGCGCCUGUUUAGGUUAGACUAAUUUUCUGUUUAGAUUAGUGAUAAAUUUGUGGCCCCAAGUGUCGGCUUUGACUUUGAUCUAGGUAACAUUGACUGGGCCCACAUGUCUGUGACACUAACCAACCCUGAGCCACUGGCCAGUGGGCCCCACAUGUCAGGUUUGACCUGGACUGAGUCUGUUGACCUGCUGAGGUCAGCAUGACGCAAUGCUGACGCUGUAAUUGAUUUUCUGGAUUUAAAAUAAUUCUUGAAAUUUCAGAAAAAUGCCCAAAGUUUCAAAAAUCCAUAGAAAAUAAUCUAUAACUCCAAAUGAAAUAACUUAAAUGAUCAGAAAAAUCCAAUCUAUCCAUCUGUACCAUUCUCAUGUAUGUUUGAACAACUUAAAGUUGUUGUAUACAAAAAUUUGAAUAAAUGGAAUUUGAAAUGCCUUAUGUGGAGUGUGAAUUUGAACCUAGGGUUCAAACCAACUCCAUUUAAAUCGUUGCUAGCUACAUUAGCUCAAACCACAGCAUAUUGCCAUGUUACAAUCAUGCAUCAUAUUGUCGCAUUGCAUUGAUUGUGUUCUUUCUCUGUUGCCGGUGUUUGUCCCCUCUCAGUAGACAUGGUACCGACGAUCAGUUCGAUGACACCGAUGAAGAGCUACACUAUCUUCAGAAGUGUGAGGCAAGAAAAAACCCCUUGUUCAUUCUGAUACAAUCCCACUCUCUCGCUCCUGCUCUCUUUUACUGCAUUAGGACAAAAAUGAUUCAAUUGUUACAUGCUGUGGUAGUUGAAUCCCUUUCCUCUGCAUGACCUGUCAUUGCCACAGUAAAUAGAUGAAACCCACUAGCAUGAGUAGGAGUAGUUUGAGCCCUGAUGUGCCUACUCAUUCAUGCUUGUUUGUCAUGCCUACUACUACUUAGAGUUGAGUCAGGUCUGAUUCAUUAGAGAUGAAUUGGAAUGUUGUGAAACAUGUCCUACUAUGUGUGAGCUAAGUGUGUGAACACGAUUUGGUAAAGGUAGCAGUGAGAGGCCACGUAGGAGUACAUGGUGGGUUGUCUCAUUGAAACCGUCCUCAAGAACUGAGUCAUGUGUCUGUGAUCCAUGAACAGUUGCUACCACACAUUGGGUUCCAGUAACUUGACCCCUCUCGACUUAUUAAUUAGCCUGAUCUCUAUCCAGGAGUUGCAACUAGUUUCUGGUGUUUGUAGGUAGUUCUAGUAGUCUACCAAGUGACACCCGGUACAGGUGGGCUUGGGACAGACUAGGUGCAGUGGCACGGUGUACCAAGUCGCACCCGGAUGGUGGGCUUGGGAAACCUGCUCAUAUCGUUUGGGGCCGUGAGCGACACCCUGGCCGGAUCUCCUUGCGGAUGGAACCCGAAUAGGCGAUAAACCUGGACUAGAGACUUGCGUGGUUAGUCAGGUCGUGGCCGACACCCUUGCCAGGCUUCCGCUUGAAGGUUGCCGAGAUACAUGACGUGUACAUGGUGGUAAGUGGCAAGAGUGUGUGUGAAGAAGUACACCCCUGCAGGGUUAAUAUGAUCUAUUAGAAUAGCCGUGUCCGCGAUAAAGGACCUAUGGGUUGCCUAUACAAUUCAUAAACAAGUGAAAGGGGAUACUCUAAAAUGCGUGAUACGUCUCCAACGUAUCUACUUUUCCAAAUACUUUUGCCCUUGUUUUGGACUCUAACUUGCAUGAUUUGAAUGAAACUAACCCGGACUGGCGCUGUUUUCAGCAGAACUACCAUGAUGUUGUUUUAUGUGUAAAAAGAAAAGUUCUCGGAAUGACCUGCAAAUCCAUGGAGAGACUUUUCAGAAUUAAUAAGAAUUUUUGGCGAAAGAAUCAGGGCUAGGGGGCCCAAGGCCUGUCCACGAGACAGGGGGGCGCCCCCCCUAGGGCGUGCCCCCUAUCUUGUGGGCCCCCUGGACCUCCUCUGACCUCAACUCCAACUCCAUAUAUACCGUCUCACGGAGAAAAAAAUUAGAGAGAAAGUUUCAUCGCGUUUUAUGAUAUAGAGCCCUAAUCUCUCUCGGGAGGACUGAUCUGGAGUCUGUUCGGGGCUCCGGAGAGGGGGAUUCGUCGCCGUCGUCAUCAUCAACCAUCCUCCAUCACCAAUUUCAUGAUGCUCACCGCCGUGUGUGAGUAAUUCCAUCGGAGGCUGAGAUUUACCAUCGUACGCAGGACGGUGAUGGGUUGGAUGAGAUUUACCAUGUAAUCAAGUUAGUUUUGUUAGCGUUUGAUCCCUAGUAUCCACUAUGUUCUGAGAUUGAUGUUUCUAUGACUUUGCUAUGCUUAAUGCUUGUCACUAGGGCCCGAGUGCCAUGAUUUCAGAUCUGAACCUAUUAUGUUUUCAUGAAUAUAUGUGUAUUCUUGAUCCUAUGUUGCAAGUCUAUAGUCACCUAUUAUGUGUUAUGAUCCGACAACCCCGAAGUGAUAAUAAUCGGGGCACUUCUCGGUGAUGACCGUAGUUUGAGGAGUUCAUGUAUUCACCAUGUGUUAAUGCUUUGGUCUGGUUCUCUAUUAAAAGGAGGUCUUAAUAUCCCUUAGUUUCCACUAGGACCCCGCUGCCACGGGAGGGUAGAACAAAAGAUGCCAUGCAAGUUCUUUUCCAUAAGCACGUAUGACUAUUUAUGGAAUACAUGCCUACAUUACAUUGAUGAACUGGAGCUAGUUCUAUAUCACCAUAUGUUAUAACUAUUGCACGAGGAAUCGCAUCCGGCAUAAUUAUCCAUCACUAAUCCAUUGCCUACGAGCUUUUCAUAUAUUGUUCUUCGCUUAUUUACUUUUCCGUUGCUACUAUUACAACUACUACAAAAAGCCAUAAACAUUUAUCUUUACUGUUGCUAUUGUUGCCAUUACUAUCAUAUCACUUUUGCUACUAAACACUUUGCUGCAGAUACUAAGUUAUCCAGGUGUGGUUGAAUUGAAAACUCAACUACUAAUACUCAAGAAUAUUCUUUGGCUCCCCUUGUGUCGAAUCAAUAAAUUUGGGUUGAAUACUCUACCCUCGAAAGCUGUUGCGAUCCCCUAUACUUGUGGGUUAUAAAGACUAAUUUCUGGCGCCGUUGCCGGGGAACAUAGCUCUAUUCUCUGAGUAACUUGGGAUUUAUAUAUGUUGAUCACUAUGAAGAACUUGAAAGACUCUAAGACCAAGAUUUUUCCCUCGACUACGAGGUGAGGUAAGGAACUGCCAUGUAGCUCUGCACUAGAUUCUCCUUCCGUUAUUGAUAGGCUUGCGACACCUAAACCUGCUACUGCUAUGAAUUCUGAUAUGUCGCAUGUUAUUGAUGAUGCCACUUCUGCUAUGCAUGAUGAAACUACUUCUAUGCGUGAUACUACUUUGCCAUUAGGUGAAUUUCUUGAUGAACAACUUGCUAGAGUUAGGGGGAAUGAAAAUAUUGAAGAACCUAUUAUUGAUGAUAGUGAUGAUGAACGUUCCCCCAAUGAUUAUGUAUUACCUGUUGUUCCUAAGGGUUAUGUUAUGAACAAAGAAGCUGCUGAAGCUAUUCUUGCUUGCAAUGAUAGAAAUGAUCUUAAGAAAUUAUUAGCUAAAUGGAAGCAGCAGUCUCUUAAUGCUAGAAUGAAACCCGAUCCUACUUUUUCUACUUCACCUAUCUGUGUUACUGAUAAGGAUUAUGAAUUAUGUGUUGAUCCUGAUAUUAUUACUUUAGUUGAAUCUGAUCCUUUUUAUGGCCUUGAAUCUGAAACUGUUGUGGCACAUCUUACCAAGUUGAAUGAUAUAGCUACCCUAUUUACUCAUGAUGAGAAGUCUCGCUAUUUAUAUAUCCUUAAGAUAUUUCCGUUCUCAUUAAAGGGUGAUGCUAAGACUUGGUAUAAUUCUCUUGCUCUUGGUUGUGUGCGUAGUCCCCAGGAUAUGAUUUAUUACUUCUCUGCUAAAUAUUUCCCUGCUCAUAAGAAACAAGUUACCUUGCGGGAAAUAUAUAAUUUUGUGCAAACCAAAGAAGAGAGUCUCCCACAAGCUUGGGGGAGGCUUCUCCGGUUGCUUUAUGCUUUGCCUGAUCAUCAUCUUAAGAAAAAUGAAAUACUUGAUAUCUCUUAUAAUGGACUAACCGAUGCUUCCAAGGACCACUUGGAUAGUUGUGCUGGUUGUAUUUUCAGGGAAAGAACAGUCGACGAAGCUGAAAUAUUAUUGAAUAACAUGUUGACUAAUGAAAAUAAUUGGACUCUUCUCGAGCCAGUUCCUGAAGAAAUUCCUGAACCAAUUGAGCCAACUCCUGAGCCUAUUCCUAAACCCACUCUGAAGAAGAGAGGUGUUCUAUUUCUCAGUCUUGAAGAUAUGCAAGAGGCAAAGAAAUCAAUGAAAGGAAAAGGAAUUAAAGCUGAAGAUGUUAAGAAUUUACCUCCUAUUGAAGAAAUACAUGGUCUGAAUAUACCGCCUGAAGAACCACAUUGUCUUGACAACCCAACAUAGGUAGUAAAGGUAAAUUCUCUCUAUAGAUAUGAUAAAGUUGAAAUACCCUCUACUAAAUUUCAUAGCCCAUUCUUAGAUGAAUUUGAUGACUUUAUGGCUAGACAGAAAGUUUUAAUGCUUAUGUUGGUAGAGAGUUAAAGAAUAAUGCUUUCGAGAUAGGACGCAUAGGUGAUAAUCUGGCUAGAGUUAAAGAUGAACUUCACCGCGUUAGCAAAUAUGCUUCUAUGGUUGCUACUCAAGCUGAGCAAGUACUCAAAGCUCAAAAUGAUUUGCUUGAUGAGUUGAAUAAUAAAAAUGACUUUGCUAUUAGAUUGGCUACUAGAACUGGUAGAAUGACUCAAAAACCUUUGUAUCCUGAAGGCCACCCUAAAAGAAUUGAACAGGAUUCUCAGAAUAAUAAUCUAGAUGUUCCUAGUUCUUCUAAGAAGAAGAAAAAGAAGAAUCAUAGGACUGUGCAAACUUCUGGUGAACCUAAUAUUGAAACACUUGAGAAUCCCAAUAAUACUUCUAUCUAUGAUGUUGUAAUGCAAUCAGGUGAUGAACAUGAACCUGAUGAUAAUGCUAAUGAUAAUGUUCAUGUUGAUGCUCAACCUAGUAAUAACAAUGAUGUAGAGAUUGAGCCUGCUGUUGAUCUUGAUAACCCACAAUCAAGAAACCAAAGUUAUGAUAAGAGAGAUUUUGUUGCUAGGAAGCACGGUAAGGAAAGAGAACCAUGGGUUCAGAAACCCAUGCCCUUUCCUCCUAAACCAUCCAAGUCAAAGGAUGAUGAGGAUUUUGAGCGCUUUGCUGAAAUGAUUAGACCUAUUUUCUUACGUAUGCGCUUAACUGAUAUUCUUAAAGUAAAUCCUUGUGCCAAAUACAUGAAGGAUAUCAUCACAAAUAAAAGAAAGAUACCGGAAGCUGAGAUUUCCACCAUGCUUGCUAAUUACACUUUUAAGGGUGGAAUACCGAAGAAACUUGGAGAUCCAGGUGUUCCAACUAUACCAUGCUCCAUUAAAAGAAAUUAUGUUAGAACUGCUUUAUGUGAUAUUGGAGCCGGUGUUAGUGUUAUGCCUCUCUCUUUAUAUCGUAGACUUGAAUUGAAUAAGUUGACACCUACUGAAAUAUCUUUGCAAAUGGCUGAUAAAUCAACUGCUAUACAUGUCGGUAUUUGUGAGGAUGUGCCUGUUGUGGUUGCAAAUGUCACUAUCUUAACAAACUUUAUUAUUCUUGAUAUUCCUGAGGACGAUAGUAUGUCUAUUAUCCUUGGUAGACCUUUUCUUAAUACUGCAGGGGCUGUUAUUGAUUGCAACAAAGGCAAUGUCACUUUUCAUGUUAAUGGUAAUGAGCAUACGGUACACUUUCCAAGGAAACAAUCUCAAGUUCAUAGCAUCAAUUCUAUUGAAAAAGUUCCAACUAUCAUUUUUGGAGGUUUCGAAUUUCCUAUCCCUACUGUCAAGAAAAAGUAUGAUAUUCUUAUUGUUGGGGAUUUUCAUAUCCCCGUUGAGGUAACUUAGUGUUAUUCGAAAUUUCUCCGGUUCCGUGCUAUUCGGAAUGAGUUUGUUAACAAGACUUGAUCAACCUUGUUAGCGGGUUCAUUUUCAUGACGACGAGAUGGAUGAAACUAGAAGGCACAACCUUCUGUACCCUCUUUUUACUUUCUGUUAUUUAGAUUAAAUAAAGCAAAAAUAGUAUUAUCCGUCUGUUUUCUGAAUUAUCCGUGCAAUAAAAAAUAGUCCGAGAAUAAAAGUGCUCCAAAUGCCCUAUAAAUUUAGUAUGAUUUUUUCUCGAAUAUUUGAGGAUUUUAGGCACUGAAAACACUGCAAAAGGGGCAAGCACCAGGCCAUGAGAGAGGAGGGCACGCCCCCCUGUAGGGCGCGCCCCUUGUCUCGUGGCCCCCUGGUGGAUCCCCUCCACUUAUGCUAGCACCCACACACUCCAUCUUCCACCCAAAAAAAUCCCCAUCCAGCUCAAGCACGAGUUCUAGCUCGUUUUGCUGCGAUUUUCGAUCUCUUAGCUCAAAGCUCCAUUCACAAAACUGCUUUGGGAGAUUGUUGCUUGGUAUGUGACUCCUCCAUUGGUCCAAUUAGUUUUUGUUCUAGUUCUUUAUUCAUUGCGAAUCCUUGCUGUCUUGGUGACCCUGUUCUUGAGCUUGCAUGUUAAAUUUUUGAGGUUCCAAGUAGUUUUAAUGCAUGAUAUGGGCUCUAGGCACUUGUAGGAGUAGUUGCUAUCAAUCUUGUUUAGUUUUAUGCACUUUUAUUUUGAAGUUACUAAAAUUUCAGAAACUUUCAGAGAAAGAAAUAUGCUUGGAAGAAUGUACCAAGGUGGUUCCUCGGCAAAGAAAGGGCCAAGGAUUGCUAUACGUGAGCAAGACGUUGAAUUGCCGAGGAAUGCAUAUGUACGGGCUUGUGAGUGGCCAUCCGAUGAUUUUAUGAUCGAAGCAGGCUUCAAGGAGGAAUUUGACGCGUAUGUGCGUAAUGCUGAGCUGGAGGACUUCUUACAAGAUAAGUGUCCUCAAUACUCUCAAUUGACUGAUUCCUUUGUGCGGAGGUUUAAAUAUAAUUGUACGCUUAAUUCUCCUAGUGUCCUAUUUGAUAUUUAUGAUACAUCUUACACCAUGGACUUAGAGGAUUUUACAACUGCUUGCAAAUUCCCGUAGUGGGGUAAUAUUAAUGAUCCUCCCAAAUCUGAAUUUAGAGAUUUCCUUGCGAAUAUUACUAUGGGAGAAUCUAGGGACGUAGCACAAGCUACCAUAGGGAGCAUUCAUUUUCCUGCUCUACAUUACUUUGCUCUCUUUAUUGGUAGAUGCAUUAACUGUAAGGACAAGGUAUGUCACAUGUGUGCCCAUGAUCUUUGUGUCCUCAAGAGUGUUGUGUCAGGUUAUAAAGGGUAUAACUUGGGGGCAAUUGUUGCACGUAGGUUGCAGAAUAAUAGUAUAAAGAGAAAUUUCUUUGGAGGAAUUUAUGCAACCCGUGUGGCUAAUUUUCUUGGUAUAGCCCCGCGAGAAGGAGAUAUGAUAACGCCUCCUGUUUAUUUGGAUAAAGAAGCUAUGUUAGUCAUCAUUUUCUUGAGAGGAAUGUACAAUUUCUCCAUUAUCGACUAGUCUAUGACAGACGCAACGUCGUCCCUGUCACUCUUCCUGCUCCCUACCUUUUUGAUUAUCAGGCAAGAGGAAGAUAUGUUGUCACCAGGGAAGAAGCCACUGAAUAUGAGAGGGGGAUGGAGGCAGCUCGCCAACACGCUGCUGCCCAGGAGGUUGUUGCCUCUGCAUCUCAGUACAAUCCCAAUUUCACUUAUGGAUAUCAGCCAGGUGGUCCUUGGUAUUAAACCAACUUAGGCCAAAAGCCUAAGCUUGGGGGAGUACGUAUUUCUCACUGACUUUACAUUCAUGUUCACACACUAGUCAUCGGUGCUCAUACUCUUUCAUUGUAUUAUCCAUGGUAGUUUAAAUUCCUUUUUCUAGUCUUCUUCUUGUGUGUUUGAUAAACCUUGAGAAAAACCAAAAAAAUAGUUAGUUUAAUUUCCUUGCCUGUAGUAGGAAUUAAAAUGAAAAAACCAAAAAGAUUCCUAGUUCUUCUUUUUACUUGUUGGGAGCUUUCCCGUGUAAAUAGUUUCAUUUUCUUUUCUUUCCUUUGGGGGUCGAGAAGACCAUAUUGAAAAUGCUUAGUGGCUCUCAUAUGCAUGAUUGUUUAUUUAAUUAGAGCCCAUAUUACUUGCUUUCUCUUUUGAGUUGAAUGCUUGCAGAUUCCAGCUUAGUCCAAUGCACGUACACUCUUAUUAUUAUACACAUCGUUCGGUCGUGCGAGUGAAAGGCAAUAAUGACGAUAUAUGAUGGACUUAUUGGGACGAGAAAAGCUGGUAUGAACUUGACCUCCCUUGUUUUUGUAAAUAUGAUGAUUCAUCAUUCUCGAGUCAGCUAUUAUGAAGUAAACAUAUUUGCAAUGACAUUUAGAGAUUAUAGUUACUUGUGCCAUGCUUGAUUAUCUAUGAGUUAUAAUGGUUUACCUUGCAUGCCAACAUGCUAUUAGAAUGAUUACAAUGUGGUAUGAUGGGAUGGUAUCCUCCUUUAAAUGAACUGAGUGACUCGACUUGGCACAUGUUCACGCAUGUAGUUGAAUCAAAUCAACGCUGCCUUCACGAUAUUUAUGUUCAUGGUGGAUUAUAUCCUACUCAUGCUUGUACUUGGUGUGAAUUAAUUUUAAUGCAUGCUUACGACUGUUGUCGCUCUCUCAGUUGGUCGCUUCCCAGUCUUUUGCUAGCCUUCACUUGUACUAAGCGGGAAUACUGCUUGUGCAUCCAAACUCCUUAACCCCAAAGUUGUUCCAUAUGAGUCCAAUAUACCUUCCUAUAUGCGGUAUCUACCUGCCGUUCCAAGUAAAUUUUUAUGUGCCAAACUCCAAACCUUCAAAUGAAAUUCUGUUUUGUAUGCUCGAGCAGCUCAUGUAACAACUAGGGCUGCCUAUAUCUUCCAUGCUAGGCGGGUUAUUCUCAGAGGAGUGGACUCCGCUCCUCAUUCACGAGAAAGGGCCGGUAACCGAGAUGCCCAGUCCCAUGAUCCAAAAAGAUCAAAGGAAAUCAAAAUAAUUAAAAAAAACUCCCCCAGGGCUGUUGUAUGUUGAAGCACUCGUUGUUUCUAGCAAGCCAUGGAUUGAUGCUUGUUGGUGGUUGGGGGAGUAUAAACCUUUACCAUUCUGUUUGGGAACUGCCUAUAAUGCAUUUAGUGUGGAAGAUACAACCAUCUCAUAGGUGUUGCAUUGACAGCGAGUAUGCCGCUCAAAAUGUUAGUCAAUCUCUAUUUUAAAAUCGAGCUCUGGCACCUCUACAAAUCCCUGCUUCCCUCUGCGAAGGGCCUAUCUAUUUACUUUUAUGUUGAGUCAUCACACUUCUUAUUAAAAGCACUCGCUGGAGAGUGCACUAUCAUUUGCAUUCAUUAUUAUUGGUUUAUAUUGGGUAUGACUUGACUGGAUCUCUUUUACCAUGAAUUACAAUGUUUAGUCAGUCCUUGAUUUUUAAAGGUGCUCUGCAUUUAUGUUUUGCGGUCUCAGAAAGGGCUAGCGAGAUACCAUUUUGUUAUAUCAUGUUAUGAUUAUUUUGAGAAAGUGUUGUCAUCCGAGUUUUAUUAUUAUGACUCGCUAGCUGAUUAUGCUAUUGAUGUGAGUAAUUGUGAGACCUAUGUGUUAUUGUGAGUAUGGUUAGUUCAUAAUGUUUGCUGAAACUUGAAUGCUGGCUUUUCAUGUUUACAACAACAAGAGCAAACAGAGUUUGUAAAAGUUUUUCUUUUUCACUUUCAGUUUAUCAACUGAAUUGCUUGAGGACAAGCAAAGGUUUAAGCUUGGGGGAGUUGAUACGUCUCCAACGUAUCUACUUUUCCAAACACUUUUGCCCUUGUUUUGGACUCUAACUUGCAUGAUUUGAAUGAAACUAACCCGGACUGACGUUGUUUUCAGCAGAACUACCAUGAUGUUGUUUUAUGUGUAGAAAAGAAAAGUUCUCGGAAUGACCUGCAAAUCCACGGAGGCACUUUUCAGAAUUAAUAAGAAUUUUUGGUGAAAGAAUCAGGGCCAGGGGGCCCAAGGCCUGUUCACGAGACAGGGGGGCGCCCCCCCCCCUAGGGUGAGCCCCCUAUCUCGUGGGCCCCCUGGACCUCCUCCGACCUCAACUCCAACUCCAUAUAUACCGUCUCGCGGAGAAAAAAAUCAGAGAGAAAGUUUCAUCACAUUUUAUGAUACAAAGCCGCCGCCAAGCCCUAAUCUCUCUCGGGAGGGCUGAUCUAGAGUCCGUUCGGGGCUCCGGAGAGGGGGAUUCGUUGUCGUCGUCAUCAUCAACCAUCCUCCAUCACGAAUUUCAUGAUGCUCACCGCCAUGUAUGAGUAAUUCCAUCGUAGGCUUGUUGGACGGUGAUGGGUUGGAUGAGAUUUACUAUGUAAUCAAGUUAGUUUUGUUAGGGUUUGAUCCCUAGUAUCCAUUAUGUUCAGAGAUUGAUGUUGCUAUGACUUUGCUAUGCUUAAUGCUUGUCACUAGGGCCCAAGUGCCAUGAUUUCAGAUCUCAACCUAUUAUGUUUUCAUGAAUAUAUGUGUGUUCUUGAUCCUAUCUUGCAAGUCUAUAGUCACCUAUUAUGUGUUAUGAUCCGACAACCCCGAAGUGACAAUAAUCAGGACACUUCUCGGUGAUGACCGUAGUUUGAGGAGUUCAUGUAUUCACCAUGUGUUAAUGCUUUGGUCCGAUUCUCUAUUAAAAGGAGGCCUUAAUAUCCCUUAGUUUCCACUAGGACCCCGCUGCCAUGGGAGGGUAGGACAAAAGAUGUCAUGCAAGUUCUUUUCCAUAAGCACGCAUGACUAUUUACGGAAUACAUGCCUACAUUACAUCGAUGAACUGGAGCUAGUUCUAUAUCACCCUAUGUUAUAACUAUUGCAUGAGGAAUCGCAUCCGGCAUCAUUAUCCAUCAUUGAUCCAUUGCCUACGAGCUUUUCAUAUAUUAUUCUUCGCUUAUUUACUUUUCCGCUGCUACUGUUACAACUACUACAAAAACCCAAAAACAUUUAUCUUUACUGUUGCUACUGUUGCCAUUACUAUCAUACCACUUUUGCUACUAAACACUUUGCUGCAGAUACUAAAUUAUCCAGGUGUGGUUGAAUUGACAACUCAACUGCUAAUACUCAAGAGUAUUCUUUGGCUCCCCUUGUGUCGAAUCAAUAAAUUUGGGUUGAAUACUCUACCCUCGAAAGCUGUUGCGAUCCCCUAUACUUGUGGGUUAUCAAUGCGCAAGAUAAGCGUGAGUGCUAUGGAUGGCGUUCUCGUAGGGAGACGAAAGCGGAGCCAUAAUGGUGUAUUGAUAUGGUGAAUAUGUGGACUCGUGUGCGCCACCUCAAAAGAGUUAUUUGCAGUCAUAGAUAGGAUAGCCACCGAGUCAAAGCUGGCUUGCUGCAGUUAAACCCCACCACCCCUUUUGAUGAUAAUGAUGCAUAUGUAGUUAGUUCUGAUGUAAGUCUUGCUGGGUACAUUUGUACUCACGUUUGCUUAAUUUAUGUUUUUGCAGAGAGACUUCAGUCUUGCUAGUAGUUCCGCGUGGACUUUGACGUUUAGCUUGUUACCUCAGCUACAAUCUUGUGCCCUCGGCAGGAUCUUGUAGAUAGCCAGGCUUCUCAGCCCUUUUCAUUUGUAGUUGUCUGUACUCAGACAUGUUGUGCUUCCGUUGUUUGUAUGCUCUGAAGGUUGGGUCAUGGUACCCAUGAUUGUAAUACUUGGCACCUCGGAGCCUAUUGAAUAAAUACUUUGAGUUGUAGAGUCAUGUUGUGAUGCCAUGUUGUAUUUGCACAUAUCGAGCAUAUUCUGUGUAUGUUAUUGAAAUGCUUGGUAUGUGUGGGAUCCGACAACCUAGUUAUUUAUUCUUGGUAGCCUCUCUUACCGAGAAAUGUCUCCUAGUGCUUCCACUGAGCCAUGGUAGCUUGCUACUACUCCAAAACACUUAGGCUGGCCGGCAUGUGUCCUUGUUCAUUCCUGUGUCCGCCCCUUGGGGGAAAUGUCACGCGUUGUUCCUUCAAGUCCCUGUAGCUUGCUACGACUUGGGUUCAUACAUCGUUCAUCGACACAUUCGUUGCUGGGUCAUGUAUGCCUGUCCCUGUAAGUUAGCACCACCUUGGCUUUAUGACUAGUCAUGUCGGCCCAGGUUCUUUGUCAUAUGGAUGCUAGCAACACAGUCAUAUACGUGAGCCAAAAGGCGCAAACGGUCCUGGGCCAGGUAAGGUGGCACCCGUGGGAAUACCAUGCGUGAGGCUGCAAAGUGAUAUGAUGUGUUACAUGUUAGAUCGGUGUGACUUAGGAUCGGGGUGUUGACACAAUGAUAGACAGUCGUCAACACCUAACACAUAUAAAGAUCAGAGCAUAAAGAUCGAAACAAUCCAUAUCGUGUGGAUCGUACAGCUGAGUGGGCAAAUGAUUUUCGAGAGAUUCCUAGCACGCGCCAUAAUCUAAAUCUGAAUGUAAUGACAAACAUUAAUUAAAGACAAUUAAUACCUGAUUGUUUUCGACUGAGGCCAUAUUCCAAAAAUAUAUAUUAGCAGUCUCAUGCACGGAUUGGAUAUAUUGCAACACAUUAAAUACAUACCCGAAAAUGAUGAGAAUUAAUACCUGUAGAUUCUCUUAUGGGAUUAUAUUCCAGAAAUAGGCAACCUUAUAUAAGUAAUAAUAUAAUGUCCUAAAAUUACAUUUAUUAUAUGCCUAUAGUGACAUUCACUACCUUCAUAUAUAAAGUGUCCUCCUUCCAUCAAUAUUUCUACCAGGUAGUACAACACAAAGAACCGAAAAGCGUCUUUCAAGCAUAUGUCCAUGGGAAGACUUGCACAAGUGCCUAUCACCCUUAUUAUCGUCCUUCUUUACACCGGCCUCCUAGCCGAAGGUAUGUGUUCAUAUCUAAAAUGCAAGUAGUAUAUGAAGAAACAAAAUUGUAGUGGAGGCUUUGCUUGCUCAAAAUUCACACAAACUUGCCAGUACACAUGACACAAUGUUGUAAUAAUAUACUCAUGUAGCGUGAAAGAUAUAUAUUUCUAUGUAUUUUUUUCACUUUUGAACCAACUUGCAACAUGUAAAUUUACCGUGGUAUAAAUAAUAAUAUAAUAUACAUGUGAAGCAGGGGCAAUAGGAACCAACAAUACCGAGCAAGUCCGUCUAUAAUCCUUGAAGCUGAUGGGCUUAAUGCAGGAAAGCGACCUCAAGUUAUGCAGGCCAUGCCAUUGUUCCUGCAAGGACGAUAAAUGUGAUGCAACGAAAUGCUGCUAUCUGGCAAAGUGUACCACGCAACGACCUCUCACUUGUGUGCUAGACUUGAUUCAGUGCGGCAGUUGUGAUAAUUGCAAGUGAUCACUGCAUGUACAUGAUGGAUUGGUGGAUGACAUCAUGACAAUAAAGAUUUCCGAAAAAACCUUUACCUUUUUUGAGUGGACAAACAGAUUUGACUUUCAGCAAUUGAGGGGGGUUAAAUUUUUAUGAGUAGUAGUUAGAUGUAUAUAAGCAAACCAUCAAAACGGUGUCGUCAAUAGUCAACACGCCCAACAAUUGACAAAAAAAAGUACUCCCGUGGCAUUAGGUACUCAAGUGCUUGUGUCUGCCAUUAGCUAGACAUAGCAAAAGAGCCCUGCGUUGCAAGAAAAAUAUCACAUUUAGCAUCGACAAUGCUUACUUCUUCUCAUCGUUUAUCAGGUCUCCCUUUUAUUUCUUGUUGUCAUUUAUUUCUUUUAUGACGCACAUCCCAUCUUUUGCCGGAUCUCUUCAGAUUUUUCUGCCAUGCGCCCUUUCUUUUAGGACACUGAUAUUUGCCGAAUGUCCCCCAUCAUUUCGUUGGGUAUGAGCGAUCCCUCCGCCCGAAUGAAAUCGUUCGGUACGAGCGAUCCCUCCGCCUAAACGGAUGGGGAUCCUCCUAGCCCGAACCCACAGUGCGACCAGUUUGCUCGGCUUUCUUCGGCUUGGCUACCUAGCCCAACCAAUAGCGUAUGAAUUUUACCAUGUAAAAAUGUUACAAUGAAUUAUUAUCUAAAACCCCUAUUUUUUGAUACAAAAAAAUAGAGAAACCAUACAAUACAGAAAAUCACCCAUUGAAUAAAUGGCAAAUGAAUGAAAACUUUGUAGGUCAAAGGCAAGUCUGUAGAAAACUACUUAUAUCAAGAAAAUAUGUACACAAAAAAUGGCAAUUUUUUUUGCAUAUAUGGCAAAUCACGAUUAUACUGUGAAAACUAGGAAAAGCUUAAGUUGCCGAUGAAAAGAAUAAAUUGCCAUGAUUAUGCAAAUAAAUUUGCCAUGGGUGCAUGAAAAACUAAAGUAGCCAUGGGUAUGAAAAUAAAAUUGCCAUCACUUUAAAAAUAAAUUUUCCAUGAUAGUAGGAAAAACAAAAUUUGUCAUUGUCCAUUAAGAAGCUAAAUUGCUGCGGAACUGAAAAUAAGUUGCCAUGGGUAUUAAAAUUAAAUUGCCAUGUCUUUGAAUAUAAAUAUGCCGUGGUCGAGCGAUUGAGUUUGCCAUGGCCUAAGAAAUUAAGCAAAUUCUCAUUGAUGGCAAUAUAGAAAUUUUUGUGACAUGGCAAUUUUUGAUUUAUUUUCUUUAGCCGAUGGAAAAUUCGGAAAAGAUAAAAACUACAUUGACAUGACAAUUAUUAAAAAAAAUCGUGUUAUGAACAUAGUUCAUUGAUAUCAUAAAUAAAUCUCUAAAUCAUUACAAACGAUCUAAAAACAAUUUAUAAAUCUUACAAUCUCUAAAUAUGUAAGGUGCCAUGGCAAACAAAAAAGAAAAAUUGCCAUGUGCCUCGUAUAUGAAUUUGCCAUGUGCUCAUGUUUGAAUUUGCCAUGCUACAAAACAAAAGCCUAAAGAAAGAAAAAUAUUAUGAAUGUGCCAUGUGACCAUAUGAGAAUUUGCCAUGUGAUUUUUUUAAUUUUCCAUGUUAUGAAGCCCAUAGGAAUAUUUACCAUAUCCAUGGCAAACAUGUAUACAAAUCUUAUGCAAAUAUCGAGGCAAUAAUUACCAGGUGUGAAAAACCUAGAAGGAGCGCACGAUUUGCCAUGGAAAAAAUCAUUGUUGGCUUAAUGUUGUGCCAUUACAAAAAAUAUUGAUUAAUAACUCUACUUGAAACUUUUUGAUAAAAGUGAUGGCAACUAUAUGUCUGCUAAAAAUUGUCAUGAUCCAUAAUGUGAAUUUUCCAUGUGCUCAUAUAUGAAUUUGCCAUGUGCUCAUGUAUGAAUUUGCCGUGCUACAAAACAAAAGCCUAAAGAAAGAAAAAUGUUAUGAAUGUGCCAUGCGACCAUAAGAGAAUUUUCCAUGUGAACAAAAAUUAAUUUGCCAUGUUAUGAAGCCUAUAGGAAUAUUUACCAUUAUCCAUGGCAAACAUGUAUAAAAAUCCUAUGCAAAAAUCGAGGCAAUAAUUAGCAUGUAUGAAAAAACCUAAAAGGAGCACACAAUUUGCCAUGGAAAAAGUUGGCGUUGGCUUGAUGUUGUGUCAUUACAGAAAAUAAUUGAUUAAUAAUUCUGCUUGAAACUUUUUGAUAAAAGUGAUGCCAACUAUAUGUUCGCUAAAAAUUGCCAUGCUCAAUAAAGUGAAUCUACCAUGUGCUCAUGAAUGAAUUUGCCGUGCUACGAAACAAAGGCCACAAGAAAGAAAAAUGUUAUGAAUGUGCCAUGUGACCAUAAGCCAAUUUGCCAUGUCAACAAGAAUUAAUUUGCCAUGUCAUGAACCCAAUAGGAAUAUUUACCAUUAUCAAUGGCAAACAUGUAUAAAAAUCCUAUUUGUCUCAAAAAAUGUAUCAAAUCCUAUGCAAAAUCAAGGCAAUAAUUGCCAUGUGUGAAAAACCUACAGUAGCGCACAAUUUAGCAUGCAAAAAUCGUCAUUGGCAAUGCAUAUUAAGAAAAUAUCAUGUUUUUUUAUCAAAUUUGCCAUGCUUUAUGAAGAAAAUUUGCCAAUAAUGUGAAACAAUACAAAAAAUGAGAAAACAUUGCCAUGGCAAAUGCAUGCUCAAUUUUGUCAUGGUGUUUUUUUUACCAAAAUCACCAUCGUGUGUGUAAUAUAAUUGUCGUAUAUGUGAAAAUAACACAAAAAAAUGAUCAAGAAAAUUGCCAUGGAAAAAUUCAUAAACAAAAUUGUUGUGUCUUUUUGUUAUCAAAAUUAGAAAUGAAAGAAAUUUUCCAAGAAUGUGAAGUAAUAGAAAAUGAUCAAAAAAUUGCCAUGGGAAAUGCAUGUUAUAUUUUGCCAUGGUAGUUUCACCAAAAUUGCCAUCUUUUGCAUAGCAAAAUUGUUGUGUAUGUGAAAUAACACAAACAAAACGAUCACACAAAUUGCCAUGGCAAAUGCAUAGUAAAAAUGACAUGGCACAUGAAGUAAUAAUGCCAUGGUCCAUAAAAAAUUAUAGAUUUGUCAUGUGCUAUGAACUAAAUUUGCCAUGAUAGUAACAUUGAAAUUGCCAUGGUGAACUAGAAAAUGAUGUCAAAAAUAGAACUAGCUAGCAAAAAGCAUAAUCCAUGAUUUGUAGUAUCGGGCAUGGUGAAUUGAAAAUGCCAUGGUGAAUUUUUGUUGGCAUGGGUAAAACAAUUUCAAUAUCACAUCGCAAAAAAGGAUCUCAAAGUAACCAUGGCAACUUUCUUUGAAUAUACAUGGCAAAGACACAUCAAAAAGUUGACAUCAUAGCAAACAUAUGCUUAGAAACAAAAAAAAAUAUGCUUUACUUGCUAUGAAAACACAUCAAAAGCCACAUAUGCUUUUAGUUGCCAUACAUUUGCUGAUGAAUUAACAACAAGGAUUGCACGGGAACAAAAUGACAAUCCCUGCUCUCGUGAUGGCCUCACCUACCACCCACCCUCUCGCCUCACCUACCGCGAGUAAUGGCGCCGCAAUCACCGCCAUUAAUGGCCGUGCGGGCUUAUCUAGCCCUCCUCUCCCCCUUGCCACAUCGUCUCCCUCCCCUGGCGACUACUCCUUAUCAGAUCUCACGGACCAGUUGAGCGAGAGAGAUGGUGGGGGGCUCGCGGAGGGGUGCAAGAGCGCGGCGGGCGCGUCCCAACCACCAGGCGGCGGCGCCGAUGGCCUCUCUGCCGCCGGUGCUGGUGUUGCAGUUGCCAGUGACCGAGCAGGGAUCGCCAGAGGCAUAUGUGGAGAUGGUUCGCGUGGUAGGGGAGCGAUUCCCGAACCAUGACAACUGGCUGGCGAUCCUCAUCGAGGUCAUCCAACACGCGACGUUCGAGGAGCGUGCGCGAUUCGCCGGCGACGAUGGGGGGAUGGAUUACGAGCUCAUCUUCUAGGCCAUCCAGGAGGCGGAUUUCACGGAUCCGAGGCAGGCGGCGAAGUGGGCAAGAUUCAGGACAAGGAAUCCGUCGCCGCUCAACAUUCGGCUGCCACCGGUGGUGUAGAUCGCCAACAUCCCGCCGGAGUACCUGCCGCCGGGGACUGUUCUGCCACGGGUCCCCUAAGACAUGGGGAGCCCGGCGUGCAUGCCCCGCAGGGCUUCUCCAACCUGUGGGUGCAGCAUGGGAGGAGCGAGGCGCACUUCCUCAAUCUUCCACCAUGGCCGGGCGACCGCGGGGAGAUCCCACAUCUCUGGGGUAAGGUGAGGAAAUUCAGACCCAAUUCACGUGCUCGUUUGAGAUCUGGUAGUGAUUUGGGCGUUGAAUUGAAUGUUAAGGAAGGUAUGGCUGUCCCUUGUGAGAGUAUAUGUGAAUCCACUCCUAUUUUCCCUGAAUCAGUUAGAGAUUCUUGUGAAUCUGUGAUUCCGGCGAGCCAGUCCACCGCCGACGAGCUCGCUUAUGCGGGAGGGGCGGGCUUGGUUUCAAAUCCGGUGGUCCCACAAGCAGGGCCGAAACCUCAACCACUGCCGUUGAUUUCGGGUCGUGUGGUUGGGAAGAAAACGGUCCAUAAAAAUACGCUUUCUACAUCUGCUAGCGGGGAUGGAGAGGAAGUGGCGGAUUUUUAUGGCCAACUUUUGGUGGUUCCCUCUCCCAACCGCCGCCAGCGCCUACAUAUAGAGAGGCAGUCGCCACCAAACCCUAAUUUCGCAAUCCCCAAAUUGUUUUGGGUUAGAAAGGAUCUGUUUAGGGAUAGAAAUUUCUCAGCACAAGAUUGUUUCCCGAUUCGGGCAGUGAGCAGAUUUGAUCUGACCCCUACUAUCUUUAAAAUUUCCACUGAGAAGCUAGGUUUCCCUAGAUCGUUUGUUGAAGUGAUUAAGGGAGGGAUGGAGCGAGGGCAGGGAGGGCAGCGACAACGCUGUCCGCCGUCGGGGAAGAAACCUGCGCCACCGGAGGGGAAAGCUGCGGCCCCGCCGGCCGGUGCUGCUACAAUGGCAGGUGAUGUCAAGCAGGGGCAACAACCUCCCAAGCAGGGGCAGCAACCUCCCAAGUAGGCGACGCGGGGGGUCCAGCAGCAGCAAGUGGUCGAGGCAACAGUCCAAGCUCCACCUCCUCCUCCUGUUGCUACAGUUCAAGCGUUGGAUCCAAGGUACAAGGACAUGACCUGCUUUAACUGUAGUUGGCUGAGGCACUAUGUGGGGAACUGCAUUGAACCGAAGAAAUGCUUUAUUUGCGCAGGAGGUCAUAACGUCAAUAACUGCGCUGCCUGGGUGAAACCACAUCCUACAGCGACAUACUUUGGCAGCGUAGCAGCUGGCCUGGGGUUUUAUCACAUUGAUGUUCCUACCGCGUCAGAACUAAGCUGGCUUAAUUACAAGAACUGUGCAGUUCUCAAAGUUGUUAAGGGUGAGGUUUCUGCCUCGGAGUUGCUGAUUCAGCUUAAUGGGAUUUUUUGUAAAAACAAAGAAUGGCCUUGGCAGAUUAGGGAUUUGCGAGAGAAGAAAUUAUUGCUGAGAUUUCCACCUUGGAAGAAUGUGGAAGACCUGAUUGAGUUUCCUGCUUUUGAGCUCCCAAUUGAUGGUGUUUCUAUCAAGAUCUGUGAAUGGGUGGGAAUGUUGGAUGAAUUUGGAGGACUUACUGAGGCAUGGGUUCAAAUUGAAGGGAUUCCUCCAAAGUGGUGUGCCUGGAAGGUUUUUUCCCAGAUUACAGCCUGCUUUGGGAUCCUGGUAGAUGUGGACUGGAAUGGUAUAUUUAAGAGUUUCUAUGAGAAUAUCAGAGUGAAAGUGGCUUGUAGAGAUCCCAGGAAAAUUCCUUUUGAGAUGUUAGUGGAAAUGAAAAGGAAGCUAUACAUUCUGUUCUUCACUGUUGAGGGUUUUGAGCACUUGGGGGAGGACUCUGAUGGAGAUGAUCUAGAUCCAAAUGUGGACAAUAUGGAGAAAGAGGAGGAAGAUAACAAUGAAGACAUGUCUGACAAAGAUAAAACACAAGAAGAAGAUAUGGGGGACCUAUUGAUGAACUGGAUAAGGCUAAUUUCCCUUCCAAGAACACUCUGGCUGCAAGCUCUAGUCAGUCAAACCCACAGAGAGCUGCUUCUGCUGUUGAAUUUCACCCUCCCAACAUGCUGGACACAAUUCAUGAGGAUUUUGUGGAUGAAAUUAGGAGCAAAAUGCCAGAGAAGAAGAAAUAGGCAGAUAAUGAAAAAUCCACUCCUGUAAAGACCUUUCCUUCUAGAAGAUCUGAUUCCUUGUCAGUACAUAUGGAAUAUUGCUCUGCACAAUUAAGCAAAUUUGAAAUGGUUGAGACUGAUGAGGAGGAGGAAGAAUUGGUGGAUGAAAUGCAAUGUUUACCUGAUGAUUUGGCUUUGGCAAUGGGAUCUGUCAAAAGAUCUCUGCUGGAAACUCUGGAAAGUGUGGAAUCGGUAUAGAAGAAAAAACCAAGCGUCAAAAAUUCUCCUACUUGGGGACCAGUUCUUGGUAAAUCAUUUGCUAUCCUUGACCCUGAUGUUCUUAUCUCUAACACUAGUAAAGUUGAUUUAUGCGUUGGGAGUAGCAUUGAAGAACACGUAGCUAUUGUCAUGGAUAUGAUAGAUGAGGAGAAAAAUCGUUGCCUUAAGUUUGCUGAUGAUAACUCGGAGAUUGUUCUCCCUGAGAACCUUGACUUAGAAACAGGGGUUGAUGAGAUCGAAGCUAUUAACAGUGACCUUCACAUUAAUGGUUCGGAUGGCAUUGCUGGACCGUUAAUGGAAAGUCCUAUCUUGAACACAAAAAAGAAGCCUUGUGGCUUGUCGCACCCAUUUAAGAUUAAAUGAUAGUGCCCUUUUGGAAUAUUCGGGGUAUGGGACAAACUGGGAAAACUCUGUGCCUAGGUGACUUUAUUAAUAAUAAUCGUCUGGACUUUGUGUGUUUCUUUGAAACGAAGAAAGAAAAUAUUGAUAAGUGUGUGCUUAGAUUUAUAUCUGGUAAGGAGGAAUUCGUAUGACAUUUUUUACCGGCUGUGAAUACUACUGGGGGAUCCUUGUGGGUCUUAGGAGUGAUUUGUUUGAGGUGAUAGGAUUUAUUAAUAAAGAGUUUUGUAUUGUGGCUACUGUUAAAAAUAAAUGUGAUGGUUUUAUUUGGCAUGUAGUGGCUAUUUAUGGCACUUCUUACAAUGAUAGGAAGUUAGAGUUUAUUGCUGAGCUACAUAACACUAUGGAUACCCUCACUUAUCCAGUUUUGAUGGGAGGGGAUUUCAACUUGGUCAGAUCGGCUGAUGAUAAAAAUAAUGGGAUUAUUAAUAACCAGUUUUCCUACCUGUUUAAUGAUUGGAUCAAUAAAUGGUCCCUUAUGGAGAUCAAGAGCGCUAAUAGGAAAUUUACUUGGAGUAACAACCAGAAUAAUCCUAUCUUCGCCACUAUAGACAUGAUUUUUCUUUGGGUUCUUGGGAUACCAAAUUUCCUCAAUCUGUGGUGACAGCUCUCCCACGUAUUGGGAGUGAUCAUACCCAUCUCCUUAUUGACACUGGUGCUCGGCGGGUUACCACCCCCAAAAUAUUUUGGUUUGAAAAGUGGUGGCUUGACCAACCUGAUUUCAAAGAUUUAUUGUGCAAUAUCUGGAAUACCCCAGUUCCUGGCAAGACGGCCAUGGAUAUCUGGAUGAAUAAAAGUAGAUUAUUUAGGAAAAAGGUUAAAGGUUGGAGCAUUAACAUAGAGGCAGGUAUUAAGAAGAGGAAGAGAGAGCUUCUGCCCGAAUUUGAUAUUCUCGAUGUUUUUUCGGAGAGGAAUCAAAUCAAUGACAUGGAUAGGCAUAGGAUGGAGGAGAUUAAAAAGGAACUUAAUAGCAUUUGGAAUAAGGAAGAAACUACUUUCUGGCAGCGCUUUAGAGAUCGUAAGAUUGUUGAUGGUGACAAAAACAAUGCUUAUUUUCAAACGCUAGCUAACCACAGGCAUAGGAAGAACCACCUAUCUGAGCUAAAUGGGGACAAUGGCCCUGUCUACAGUACCAAGGAGAUGCUGGAAGUAGCUACUACCUUUUAUAAAAACCUCUUUGGAGCUGGGGAAAAAAACCUCAUAUUCAUCUUGGGCCUUCCUUUUGGGAGGAGGGUGAUCUGGUUACCGAAGAAGAGAACGAUCAUCUUCAAAGUAACUUCUCUGAGGAGGAGAUCAAGGAAGCCAUCUUUGGGUCAUAUGCACAUGGUGCACCUGGACCAGAUGGAUUGUCAUUUCUUUUUUAUCAAACUUUUUGGGAUGUUAUCAAAGCUGAUUUUAUGGCACUGGUGAGAGAUUUUGAAGAAGGCAAGCUAGAUUUGCAGAGGUUGAAUUUUGCUUUGAUAGUCCUUAUUCCUAAAGAACCUGACGCCAAGGAUUUAAAGAAAUUUAGGCCAAUCAAUUUGAGCAACUGUGGUAUUAAAAUCUUUUCUAAAGCCAUGACCAAUAGGGUUUCCCCUAUUGGUCGCAGAUUAAUCUCUUCGAACCAAACAGCGUUUAUUAAAGGGAGAUAUAUAUUAGAGAGUGUUGUCACGGCUCAUGAAGUGAUUCAUGAGGUCAAGAAAUCUGGUUCUCAAGGUCUAGUGCUUAAACUAGAUUAUGAGAAAGAAUAUGACCGGGUUAACUGGGAUUUCUUGUUUGAGAUGUUACAAUCUAGGUUUUUUUUGCCCCAAGUGGAUUGCUUGGAUUAAAAGUACCUUAAUUAACAGUACUUUUGCUGUGAGAAUUAAUGAUACUAAUGGAAACUAUUUUGUUGGUGGGAAAGGGCUUAAACAAGGGGAUCCCCACUCCCCCUUGUUGUUUAACUUGGUAGCUGAUGUGUUUACAAAAAUGCUUUAAAAAGCAGCCUCCCAAGACCUAAUUUCUGGGCUUCUGCCCAAUAUAAUUCCAGGGGGGUGGUGAGUCUGCAAUACGCAGACGGCACUAUCCUUUUUCUGGAGAAUUCGGCUCAUAAAGCCAGGAACUUUAAGUGGUUUUUAUCAUGUUUUGAAUCACUUUCAGGGAUGAAAAUUAAAUUUCAUAAAAGUGACUUAAUGACCAUCAAUAUUGAUGAGGAAGUGGCUAAUGACUUUGCCCAGAUUUUCUGUUGCAAAAAAGGGCGCUUUCCUAUUAAAUAUUUAGGCGUUCCUUUACAUUAUGACAAGUUGAAAAGGGAGCAUCUCCAACCCAUUAUAGAUAGUAUUAUUAAGGGCAUUUCUGGAUGGCUUGGGAGAUAUCUCACAUAUAGAGGCAAAAUUAUCUUGCUAUGUGCAUGCUUCAUUAGCAUACCUGCCUAUCUCAUGUCUGUCAUUAAGUUUCCCAAAUGGGCUAUCAAUGCCAUUAACUCCCAAAUGGCUCACUUCUUUUGGGGUAAUAUUGGGGACCAACACAAAUACCAUCUAGCUAAAUGUGGUUUUGUUACUAGGAAGAAAGAAUAUGGAGGGUUGGGGAUUCCUAACAUCAAAGAAUUUAACAUGGCCUUAUUGGCUUCCUGGGGCAAAAGGUUCUUUGAUGAAUCUGAUGCAGACUAGAAGAAAAUCAUCCGUUACAAGUAUAGAGUGAAUACUCCCAACCUACUUUGGGCAAAAGGAGAUGGUGGCUCUACCUUUUGGAAGAGCAUCACUUGGGCGUUAGCUGCUGCUAAAAAUUUCUACAGAUGGAGAUUGGGCAAUGGUGAAUUAAUUAGCUUCUGGCAUGAUACCUGGGUUGGGGAAUGUUCCCUGAAGGUGCAAUUCCGGGAAUUAUAUUGUAUCUGCAACCAAACGGAAUGCACUGUAGCUCAGGUGUGGGACGGAUAGGAACUUAAGUUAUCUUUUAGGAGAUGCAUAGACCAAAGUGGGCUUGACAGAUGGGAUUUGCUGCAGAGACUUGUUCAACAGUGUAUCUUAUCAGAUGAACCUGAUAUCCCGAAUUGGUCCUUGGAACCUAAUGGGUUAUACUCUGUGAAAUCAUUUUAUAAAAGCAUCAACUUUGGGGGGAUAGCUUCUGCUAUCAAAGAUGAUCUUUGGAAAAUUAUAUGCCCUCAGAAGAUACAUGUAUUCUUGUGGUUGUGUGCUCAUAAUAAAAUUCUAACUAGGGAUAAUCUUUCUAAAAGAAGGGAGGUGGAGGACCUUUGCUAUCUUUUUUGUGCAGAGCUCGACUCUGUACAGCAUUUGAUGUUUGACUAUGUAGUUGCUCGGCAUGUGUGGGUAUUUGUAUCCGACUUCUUUGAGAUUGAUAGAAUUGCUAAUUUUGACGACAUCUUUGCUUUCUGUCGAGUACAUAAAAAAAAGCCUGUGCUUAACAUGGUUAUUGCUGCUUCCUUGUGGAGCUUGUGGAGACUAAGAAACAGUUUCUGUUUUCAGGGUCAGAAAUGGAGAAACAUGAACUGCAUUCUUGCAAGAUUAAGCUGUUAUUUGCACUAGUGGAAGGUUCUCUGCGAUGAUGCUCAAGCAACCCUGUUGCAAAGGUGUAUCCUUCUGUUGGACAAGAGGCGUGGAGAACUAAUGCGGAUAGCCUAGAAGUGAGGUGUGGGAGGGGAGCAUGAAAGGCGCGCGUUUCGAGUGGAAGAAAUCUUAUUUGUUCCUUCUCCUUCUGAUUUGGUUAUGUAAUAAGUAAUACCUAGUUUUCUUUUCCUAUUCUGUUGGAGAGAACUUCUGCUCUCGAGCUCUAGGCAGCGUAGUCUCCUAGAAUGUUGCUUUAUUCUCUGUUUAGGCGCAUAUUGGAACUGGUUGUGACUGCUUUAUCUGCUUCAAUCUAUAAAGUUGGGGCAGGGGGGCAACCCCUUUCAUUCACAAAAAAUUAACAACAAGGAUUACAGUGAGAGGGCAAUCACAAAAAUCCGUUAUCCUCUCAUAGGACAUUACAUGGCAUUUUUAGGAAGACUGAACUGGAAAAAUUGAACAAAGUGUGGUAUGCAGACAUAUGAAGCAGAAAAGGAGUGUUAUCAUACAGAUUCAUUGUUGGAUUGGCAACAAACUAGUGGAUAAAAAAGACAAUAUGGGGUUCAUGGUGCAAGAAAUUAGCAUAGAAUCAAUGUGAAAAAGGGGGGAAUAGGUGCAACCUGCAGGGGAGGGAGUCAACGCCCACAACGGCUUUGUGUAGUAUGUGUCGUGCUGGGCGAGCUCGAACCCAGGAUUCGGUCCUUCGACCUCCUCCGACACGGUGGGGAAGGGUGGGGUUGAGAGCUGGGAGAUGAUGGCAAAUCCUCUCAAGGACGCGUCCUUGCUGACCUGGUCGUCAUGGUCUACUUUCACCUAUGGCGUGACGGCCUGGUGCUCGUGGCGGUGGCGAGGUAUGAUACAUCUCCAACGUAUCUAUAAUUUUUUAUUGUUCCAUGCUAUUAUUCAAUCUUCAAUAUUUUAUAUGACAUUGUAUAUCAUUUUUUGGGACUAACAUAUUAGCUUAGUGCCAAGUGCCAGUUGUUAUUUUUUGUUUGUUUUUUGUUUUCCAGGAUAUGAGAACUAAAUGAAGUCCAAAUGCCACGAAACUAUUUAACAAUUUUUUUCUGGACUAAGAGACACUAGAAGAUUUGGGGGGAGGUCAGAAGACGAAGGAGUGGCCCACAAGCCACCAGGGUGCGCCUAGGGGGGUAGGUGCGUCCUGGUGCCCCAUGGGCCCCCUUUGCUCCGUUGAUCUAAUUUCACCUCUAUAAAUUCUCUAAAAUCGGGAAACCACUAAGGAGCCACCCAAAACACUUUUUCCACCACCGCAAGUCUUUGUCCUCACGAGAUCCCAUCUGGAGGCCUUUUUCGGCACUCUACCGGAGGGGAAAUCAAUCACGGAGGGCUUCUACAUCAAUUUUACUUCCUCUCCAAUGAUGUGUGGGUAGUUUACCAUAGACCUACGGGUCCAUAGCUAGUAGAUAGAUGGCUUCUUCUCUCUCUUUGAUCUUUAAUAUAAUGUUCUCCUUGAUGUUCUUAGAGAACUAUUCGAUGUAAUCUUUUUGCGAUGUGUUUGUUGGGAUCCAAUGAAUUGUGAAUUUAUGAUUAGAUUAUCUGUGAAUAUUAUUUUAGUCUUCUCUGAAAUUCUUUUAUGCAUGAUUGUUAUAGCUCUGUAUUUCUCUAUGAUUUAUUGAUUUGGUUUGGCUAACUAGAUUGAUUUAUCUUGCAAUGGGCGAGGUGCUUUCUAAUGGGAUCAAUCUUAUUGUGAUCUAUAUCCCAGUGAUUGCUUGUAUCUGCGUUGGUAAUUCUCCGAAGAGGAGAGGAUGAUGCAGCAUAGCAACGGUAAGUAUUUCCCUCAGUUAUGAAACCAAGGUUAUCAAUCCAGUAGGAGAACCAAGCAACACUAUGUAAACUUCAUCUGCACACAAAUACCAAAUACUUGCAACCCAAUGCGUAAGAGGGGUUGUCAAUCCCUCGGUAUUGACAUAGAUUAAACUGUAUGAGAUUCGAUAAAUAGAUCUAGCAAAAACACAAAAUAAAAUAAAUAAAUAAAAAGUGCAGCAAGGUAUUUUUUGGUUUUUGGAAUAAUAGAUCUGAAAAUAAUAUCAUAGGAAAUAGACCCGGGGCCCGUAGAUUUCACUAGUGUCUUCUCUCGAGAAAAUAGCAUACGGUGGUUAAACAAAUUACUGUUGGGCAGUUGAUAGAAGAGCAAAUAAUUAUGACGGUAUCCAAUGCAAUGAUCAUGUAUAUAGGCAUCACGUCCAAGAUUAGUAUACCGGAACGAUUCUGCAUCUACUACUAUUACGCCAUACAUUGAUCGCUAUCCAGCAUGCAUCUAAUGUAUUGAGUUCAUGGAGAAACGGAGUAAUGCAAUAAGAACGAUGACAUGAUGUAGACAAGGUCUAUUCAUGUCAGAAUAGACCCCACCUUUUUAUCCUUAAUGGCAACGAUACAUGCGUGUCACUUCUCCUUCUAUCACUGAGAGUGAGCACCGCAAGAUCGAACCCAUCACAAAGCACCUCUUCCCAUGGCAAGAAAAAUCAAUCUAGUUGGCCAAACCAAACCAAAGUUUCGGAGAAGAAACAUGAGGCUAUAAUAAUCAUGCAUAUAAGAGAUCAAAGAAUACUAAAAUAAUAUUCAUAGAUAGAUCUGAUCAUAAACUUACAAUUCAUCGGAUCCCAACAAACACACCGCAAAAAGUCAUUACAUCAAAUAGGUCUCCAAGAACAUCGAGAAGAACAUUGUAUUGAGAAUCAAAAAGAGAGAAGAAGCCAUCUGGCUACUGCAUACGGACCCAUAGGUCUGUGGUAAAAUAAUCACACAUCAUUAGAGGAGAAACCCCUCUAUGAUCGUGUUCCCCUCCGGCAGAGUGCCGAAACAGGGCUCUAGAUUGGAUCUCAUGGUUCUGGAACUUGCGACGGCUGGAAUUGUUUUUCGUCAACUCACCUAGGGUUUCUGGAAUAGGUAUUUAUAGAGCUGAGAGGCAGUGGAAAGGACCCCCAUGGGCCCCACUAUUGGGAAACAUUGUAUGGAAAACAAAAAAAAUCUACACACACGCAAGAUCUAUCCAUGGAGAUGCAUAGCAACGAGAGGGGAGAGUUGUCUAUGUAUCUUCGUAGACCGUAAGAGGAAGCGUUUGUUAACGCGGUUGAUGUAGUCAAAUUUCUUCGUGCUCCAAUCGAUCGAGUACCGAACGUACGACACUUCCACGUACAACACACGUUCAGCCCGAUGACAUCCUCGCCUUCUUGAUCGAGCAAGACGGAGAAGUAGUGGAUGAGUUCCAGCAGCACGACGGCGUGGUGACGGUGAUGAUGAAGUUAUCUUCGUAGGGCUUUGCCUAAGCACUACGAAAAUAUGACAAAGUGUGUAAACGGUGGAGGGGGCACCGCACACGGCUAAGCAAUUAACCGAGGGUGUAAACGGUGGUCAGGAACGUGAAGCACUAGCGAAGGGUGGCCAUGUCAUGAAGCUGACGAAGAAUAGAAUCCAGAGAAGUGAACAGCCAAAGCGUGAAGUCUUUGGUGAAGAAGAAGAAAAUGAUAGACAUGCUAUAAAGUUGAUGGAGGAGAGUCGAAUCCAGGGAAGUGAACAGCCAAAGCCUUCAAAGCCUACUAUGAAAGAUUGUAUCGAUGAACGGAGGCAAGUGCCUCACCAAUAUGUGCUAGCUAGCAAGGAGAAGUCCCCAUUUAAUGAGCAGAAGCGACCAGCGUUCAACGAGGUGAGUGACUUGACCUUUUAAUUUCUCCUUGUUUGUUUCUGCUUCCAUUUGCUAUUGGGGUGUGCCAAUAUUUAAGUUGUGGCUCAUCGCAAUUUCUCGGUUCAGUAAUAUUUUCAGUGACCAACAUGGAAAAUACUUUUCUCUUGGUCGUAAUGAAACCAACACACAAUCCUGGUAGCCACUUUGAAUGUAACGUGUUAAUUAACAUGUAUGUGUUAUAUAGGAAAUGUGGAACAGAAAUGAUACCAAAUAGCUUAUUGAUCUUGUUUCAAUAAAAAUGUCAGUUUACUAAUGGAAGUGUUGAGUUACUUUAGUUAGGCAAAGUCUUUGGAUAUGCAACUAGUUUAGUUAGGCAAGCUCUUCAGAUAUGCAAACUUUUAGUUAUGCAAGUUCUUCAGAGAUGCAACUACUUUUCUUUUUGAAACUAGGAAAAAUAAAGAUUAUGUUGAGAGUUUGCGGUAUCGAUUGGGUAUGAAAAAUGUCUUUACAGUUUCGGGUAAAGGCAAAGGUGGCGGCUUAGCGGUUUUUUGGGAUGAGUGCUUCUCUGUGGAGUUAAACAAAUUUGGCGAUCAUUUUAUUGACUUAUAUAUUUGCAAGAGUGGUGGACCAGAAUGGAGGUGCACUUUGGUUUAUGGCGAACCGAAGGCGAUUCAAAGGUACGUAAUGUGGGAGCUUUUGAUACGGAUUAAAUCUCUUGGUUCUGGUCCUUGGUUUAUGGUCAGAUAUUUUAAUGAAGCUAUGUGGAAAUAUGAGCAUUUCUCUCGUAAUACAAGAUCACAUAAACUCAUGGCAAACUUCUGGGAGGUUCUCUUGGAGUGCAACCUAUUUGAUCUGGGGUUUUAUGGUGUGCCUUGGACGUAUGAUAAUAAGCAAGAUGGAAAUCGAAAUGUAAAGGUGCGGCUGGAUCGUGCGGUCGCAUGUCCACAAUGGACUUCUAUGUUCCCUCAUUGUAAGGUGUCACACAUUAUUUCUUCCAGGUCAGAUCAUUGCCCUUUGUAUAUUCAGUUGAUGGGUAAUCAGCCUAACGUCGCUUCUAAAAAGCAUUUGAGAUAUGAAGCUUUUUGGGAGAGGGAAAGUCUGGCUUUGGACGAACAGGUUAAAGCGUGCUGGAAUAAAAGUUUGCAAGUGAGGGAUUUGAAGGAUGUGGCGACUAAUCUGGGUAAUCUAAUGAAAUCAUUGCAUUCCUGGAGUCAGGAUCAUAUUGGUUAUCUCCCCAAAAAAUUGGAAGCUGCUCGCAAAAGAUUAAAUGCUCUUUUUAAAAGGAGCGAUAAGGCGGCCGUGAUGGAGAGAAAGGAAAUUCUCCUGGAGAUGGAUGAGCUACUUAUAAAGGAAGAAGUUAUGUGGAAACAAAGGUCAUGUAUUGAGAAAAUGAUUUUGGGGGACCAUAGUACAAAAUUUUAUCAGAGAAAGGCCUCGUGGAGGGUGAAAAAAUAAUAAUAUUUCUGCUAUUAAGAGAAGUGAUGGGUCUCUUACGGAGAACAUGGAUGAAAUUACAGGUAUCACUAACUCUUUUUUCGAGCAGCUUUAUACGUGUGACACUAAUGUUGACCCCUCUCGUAUUAUUUUGAUUGUGAAACCUCUCUUCAAUGAUGAUAUGAACGCGGAGCUUUGUAAACCUUUUUCUAAGGAAGAGAUUAGUGAUGCUCUUUUCCAGAUUGGGCCUCUAAAAGCACCAGGUCCAGAUGGGUUUCCGGCUUGAUUCUUUCAGAGAAACUGGGGUUUAAUCAAGGAGGACAUUGUUAAGGCGGUUCAACAGUUUUUUAUCUUGGGUGUUAUGCCCGAAGGCGUAAAUGACACCAUCAUUGUCCUUAUACCCAAGGUGAAGAACCCGCAAUCCAUCAAAGAUUUUAGACUUAUCAGCCUGUGUAAUGUCAUCUACAAAAUUAUUUCAAAGUGCAUGGUGAAUAGAUUGAGACCUCUUUUGGAUGGUAUGAUUUCUCCCACUCAGAGUGCUUUCAUUGCAGGAAGGUUAAUUUCUGAUAAUGCACUUAUGGCCAUCGAAUGUAUGCACUCGUGGAGUAUGUUAAAAGAUCAGCGUGGAGAGUUUUGUGCAUAUAAGUUGGACUUGGCAAAAGCAUAUGAUCGAGUGGAUUGGCAAUUUUUAAAGAGCAUGUUGGGGGCUUUUGGUUUUGCGCCAAUUUGGAUUAAUUGGAUUAUGACGUGUGUUACAUCAGUGGGAUUCUUAGUUCAGUUUAAUGGCCAGUUGUUGCAUCCUUUUUAUCCAUCUUGUGGUCUCAGGCAAGGGGAUCCCUUAUCCCCGUAUUUGCUCUUCUUUGUGGUCGAGGCCCUCUCUUUGCUGUUAAAAGAUGCAUGUGAAAAAGGUGCUCUAAAAGAGUUUCAUGUGAACAGACAAGCUCCAGGUAUUUCUCAUCUAUUGUUUGUGGAUGACAACCUCCUUUUCUUCAGGGUAUCCAUUGAUCAAGCCUUAAUCAUUAAAAAUAUCCUAUCGACCUAUGAGGGGGGAACUGGUCAGCUUCUGAGCCCUGAUAAGUGUUCGAUUAAAUUUGGCAAAAAGUGUAGUAUGGAAGAUCAGGUGGCCACAAUGGUCAUUCUUAAUAUUACUGCAGAAGGUUUUGAGGAUAAGUACCUUGGUUUAUCGGUACCUGGGGGUAGAAUGAAGGUUGGUAAGUUCCAUUCGACCAAAGAUAAUGCUCUAAAAAGAUCAUCAGAUUGGAUUGAAAAUAAUGCUUCAAGUGGUAUUAAGGAAAAUCAAAUCAAGGCGGUGUUGCAAGCGCUCCCAGUGUACGCCAUGGGCAUCUUCAAACUUCCAGCUUCUUUAUGUGAUGAGUUGGCUCAUAUUAUAAGGAAUUUCUAGUGGGGAGACGAAGAAGAUAGGAGGAAAAUUCAUUGGUUAGCUUGGGAUAAACUCACUAAGCCAAAAAGACAUGGAGGCAUGGGUUUCCGAGAUCUUAGGUUAUUUAAUCAAGCUCUCUUGGCCAAACAGGCGUGGCGGCUAUUGGUUUACCCAAAUUCUUUGUGUGCUAAGGUUUUGAAGGCAAAAUAUUACCCCAAUGGCCACAUUCUGGAUACUGUGUUCCCGCAAGCUACAUGAGUGAAUUGGCAAGGUAUUAUGCAUGGCUUGGAACUAUUAAAAAUUGGGUCAUAUGGAGAGUGGUUGAUGGUAAAAAUGUAAAUAUUUGGAGAGAUAACUGGCUACCUAGAAACUCCAGCCUUAGGGUUACAGCAAAGAAAAAUCGCACUAGACUGAAAUGGGUGUCUGAAUUAUUCAUGAGCGAAACAACAACAUGGGAUGAAAAUUUAAUCAGGUAUUUGUUCUAUCACCAUGAUGCGGAGGAGAUUCUAAAUGUACGUAUUCAGUCUGGAGGAGAGGGAGAUCAAGUUGCUUGGCAUUAUGAGAAAAAUGGUAUGUUUUCUGUUAAAAGUGCGUAUAGACUGGCCUUAAAUCUUAAGGACAGUAAGGGUGAAACUGGAACGUCCAACACUAAUGUUAAUGAGGAGAGAAGGAUGUGGGACGUUAUUUGGAAGGCCAAAGUCCCACAAAAAAUAAGAAUUUUUGCACGGCGAGCCGCGUCCAAUAGUUUGGCGACCCAAGUAAAUAGAGUUGCUCAUCACCAAACAGUGUCAGAUAUGUGUACUAUUUGUGGUGUGGAGGAAGAAAGUAUCUUUCAUGCCCUGGUGACUUGUCCUGAGGCGUGUGCUUUCCGUUUUGCCAUGAGAGAUGUGUGGAAUAUUCCUGGAGAGGAGUUCUUCAGAUAUACGGGGCCGAACUAGUUUCUUAUUCUGCUUGACCAAUUGAGGUCACCGGUUCGCGAGCAAGUUUUAUUCAUAUUUUGGAGAGCUUGGCACCUGAGGAAUGAUCUGAUCUUUGGAAGGGGGAAAGAGUCUUUAUCUGCUUCUGCUAUAUUUGUGGAAAAUUACUGGAAAUCUUUUACGGCGACAAAUGCGUGUGUGCAAGUUGACAUGAGUAAUAAAGGUAAGGGGUGGUUGACAAGUGGAGGUAUGCUACUCCACCCGCAAUUGGUCACCGAGUUUGGGAGCCCCCGCAUCCUGAGUAUAUUAAGAUUAAUGUUGAUGCAAGUUUUGUGGAGAGCAUGAGAUCUGCUAGUGUUGGAGUUGUUGUCAGGAAUGACCUGGGCGAAGUAUUGAUCUCAACAUGGGAUUUUAUCCGCUCAUGUACUUGUGUGGAUGAAGCGGAACUUCGUGCGGCCCUUGCCGGGUUAUACAUAGGUAUUACACUUCACAAACCAAUUAUCCUGGAAACUGAUUACGCUUUUGUUGUUUCUUGUCUGGCUAGAGAUUCCAUUGACAGGUCUCCGUUGGCGGACCUGAAAAUGGAGGCAUUGAGCGUAUCAAAACUCAUAAAGGAUUUUAAGAUCACGAAGAUUGAUAGGCGGGCAAAUAAGGUGGCGCGCGAGAUUGCAAAAUUUAGUUUUUACAGUAGAUCCGAGGGCCUUUUAUGUAAUAGUGUUCCGCCAUGUGUAACUGCUUUUGUAAUGAACAAUUGUGAGAACCUUAAUUUACCAAAGUAAUAUAUGGAGGUUUUCAAAAAAAAAGGUUAGGCAAGUUCGUCCAAUAUGCAACUUAAUAUAUAUUAUUACAUCUUAUCGUCAAAACUAAUUAUAGAACUGGAUUGUAGUAGUAGUAGUAGUAGUAGUAGUAGUAGUAGUAGUAGUAGUAGUAGUAGUAUAUCUUUACUCCUAAUGGAGCAGUUGGUAGUCUCGCUUCCAGGUUUUUUUUCGUCCCACCACUUUCGUCCGGUUUUUUUCGUAGGUUAACCGUCGUAGAUUUUUUUCGAUGUUGGUUUCUUAUUCACCGGUUUAUAUAUCCCUCAGCUCUUUCCUUGCAAAUCAGCACUUUCCAAACGUGCACGCAAUCACAGAUGUAAAUUUACUAACUUAUCCAAAUCAACUGAUACCUUCCAUUAUUGCAAAUUUCUUUAGGAAACAAAUAAUAGAUUUUAAGGAAACAAAUAAAAGAUUUUAAAGAUGCAUCAUACUUUACUAACAAUCACUAAAAAUCAAAUCUAAAUUAAUUAACCUUACCUUAAAUCACUCAAUCACUUUAAUUAGAAAACAUUUUCUUUCCUAACUGCAGUUGGUAGUUUUGCUUCCAGGUUUUUUUUCGUCCCACCAGUUUCGUCCGAUUUUUUUCGUAGGUUAACCGUCGUAGAUUUUUUUCGAUGUUGGUUUCUUAUUCACCGGUUUAUUUACCCCUCAGCUCUUUCCUUGCAAAUCAGCACUUUCCAAACAUGCACGCAAUCACGGUUCUAAAUUUACUAACUUAUCCAAAUCAACCGAUACCUUCCAUUAUUGCAAAUUUCUUUAGGAAACAAAUAAUAGAUUUUAAGGAAACAAAUAAAAGAUUUUAAAGACGCAUCAUACUUUACUAACAAUCACUAAAAAUCAAAUCUAAAUUAAUUAACCUUACCUUAAAUCACUCAAUCACUUUAAUUAGAAAACAUUUUAUUUCCUAACUGCACUCUGCUUAGUGUGCACAUAACAAUCCGAAGUAAUUAGAGUCACAUGAUUGAAUCCAUUUAUUUAUAGCGACAUGAUUGAAUUCAUUUAUUAACAAUAAUCCUCACCAAAAGUGCGUUUAGCAAUUUUAGAGGGCGGACCAAAACUCUGCCAUCCGCUCGCCCGCGUUUGUUUAGGUACAGGAAAAAAUGGCAUAAUAUAUGGAAACAACACGACCGGGGCGGCGGCGCAAUCUUCGGGGAUAGGGGAUCGGAGGAGAAGGAUUGGCCUGGCAGAAUGAUCGGGGUGCUUCCCCGCGGCCGCGGCCAUCCUCGCGUUGCCACCAACCGAAAUCAACGUUGCUCCCUGCCGUCAGCCGAGGCGACGCCGCCUGCCCUCCUACCCACGGUCCGCUGCCGCGUGCAGCUACGGCGGGAGGAGUAGCGACGGGGCCGAGGUCCUUCAUGCGUUCCGGGAUGGAGGCCAUGAUAUCGUCCAGGUCGUUGCUGCCUCCUACACUCAGCGUGUGUCGCCGAGAUCGAGGCGAGCAUGAGGAGCUGUGGCCACCGCCAUGGUCACCCCAUCGCAGGGGAUGGAGCACGCCGUCGGCCUACAGCUUGUGGAGAUCACUGUUGCUCUUCAGGUCGCGUGGUGAUCGGAUCUUGCCGAUGUGUCCCUCCCCAACGACCUCCUCUUCGCCCGGUUGGCCGACAUGGAUCUCGCCACUGCUGCCCUCAACUUCUCUGCCUCGAGCUCGACGGUCAGCCCCCAUGGAUCCCCCAGCUGGAGGGUCACGUGAACCAGCCGUCCUCCCAUGCUGCAGCGGCGAGAAGGUGACAUGGCUCUCCGUACACGAAGAGUGGAGUUUAGUCAAGUACUUAUAUACUUGGCCUCUACUGCUGAUCCAUGUACAUGGAGAAGAACAGACAACCGCUCAUUCAUGCUUCGUUCCACUCCUUUGUGCUACAUUACUGGAGGUGACAUUUUCCUAUCUCUCUAUAUUGUAACAAGCCUGCUGCCUGCGUAGUUAAUGGAUUUUUUAUUUAAAUUUAUCGCUGCUUAGUGCUUUGUUGCAAUUGUUCACCCAAGAUUCUUAUAUAUAAUCUGAGCGUAUGUAGGCAUACUUAGCUUUGCUAUUCCAUUUUUUCUGGCGCAUAGAAAUAAGAGUAUUGUCCAGGUUAGGUAUUAAAUUGAGUAUGGUAUUUGGAUUGCUAUCAGAAUAUCUUUUCUAUGCAUGUGAUUUCUUACAUCUGGUUAUAAUAUUUGUGAAGACGUGCAUUGCACGUGCACUUGGAAGCGGGCCCGUGGCCCGCGCUGGAUGGCGCCGACGCCUACCCGAGCCACCUCGUCCGCGUAUUCUUGGAGCUGUGGCUGGUCGAUUUACAUGAAAUUAAUUCCCCCAGUUCUGGUGACAAAUAUAAUACACAUAAUCCAUAUUAUUAUGCACUAGCGUGUAUGUGUGAAAUAGAUUGAUUAUGGUCCCGUACCCAAUAAGAUGGAUAUGUGUGUGUGUUAGAGAGAGAGGGAGAGGGGGAUAGAGAGUGAGGAAGAGGGAGGGAGAGUGUGUGUCUGUGUGUGUGAGGAUUUGAUGGUAAAAAAAACCGUCAAUGUCGUAAUAUUGAACUCUUAAAGUUAAUGUGGCCCGUUGCAACGCACGGGCGUUCUUCUAGUGUACCUGAGUUUACCUUCCUUGUUCACUAGUCUUUUACUAUACUACUCCCUUCGUUCCUUUAUCUAAGGUGUAUUUAUUUUUUGAACUCCAUCACAAAAGAGGUAGAAGCCACUUGACGAAUGGAAUUGCACCCUCUGUCAAGUGAACCUGACCCGUGAAGAAGACUUAAUGCAACACAAAGCACGCGAACUACACCGGUUGAACCUUGCGGCAUUGCGGUCCAGGCAGAAAGCCUUUGGAUUUGACUUGCGCAACCAUCUCAAGGGCAGCAGCCACCAGGAAAGCACGCAGGCCCUGCACACAGAAGCCGGGAGCUACCAUCUCAAAGGGAGGAGCCAUCAGGAGAGCGCACAGACCCGGAAGGCAGGAGGCAACGAGGAGGGCAAGCAUUUCGCUGACCGCAGGGGUGCUGAAUAUCCGAGGAAGGAGUUUGUAAGCAAAUUUCCCUUCUGCAAGCUCUGCAAAGUGUAGUACUCCAGCGAGAAGGUGAAGGAGUCGCAUCUUGCCGGGAAGAAACACAGGCAGAACCUUCAGGCAAGCCAUUGAGAGGCAGCAGUUGCAGAGCAGCGGCGGUUUGUUGCGAAGUCGUGUGUUUAUUGUACCAUGGGUUAGUGUCUGAUUAACAUGUCAAUCUGCAAAUGUUAGCACGGUGCAGCUGCAACUUGUCAUGUCGGUGGCUGCACUGGAGUUCAUUUGGUGAAGAAUCUACGUGUUUAUGUCCCUAGGUGUCAACAUGUUCCAUCCAGGUGUACAUAUUAGGUUUUCUAGAUCUUUUAGUUUUAGUUAAACUAGAAAGGAGUGGUUCCCUUUUUCUCCUUUUCGAAAGAGAGCUGAUUUCUCCGAUUUCCAGUGCUGAUCCACUGAGGGUUCUAAGAUAGUUGUUGUAAUCGAAGAAGAGCUACCAUGUGUCGUGCAUUGCUAUGUACCUUGUGUCAUCCAAACAUGAUUUGGUACCUUGUGUCAUCCAAACAUGAUUUGGUAUUGAAAUCUCGGAGGCAUUUCAAGGGCCAAUUCACUGGACAACCAAACAUGUGAAUUUGUAUUCCCAUCAUUUCAGUUUCCUCACUGAUUUGGAAUUCAGACCAAUACAAUACGGAGCUCCCCAAUGGAGACAUCCAAACGAAGCGUUACAAUCUCACCUGCUCCUUGAUUUGAGUGAGCCCUAGCCCCUUGAACAAUCGCCGCACCAUUUGCUUCUUUCUCAGAAGAAUCACCAACUUUUGGUUGUAUUAUCAGAUCACAUCUGUGGCAGGUUUGCUUUGGGAAUUUGAUUUCGAAUUCGUUUGAAAUGUCAGCAGCAAUCAAAGUGUCCGUGAUUUUAUUCGAUAAUUUGGUCUGUACGGGUAAUGAUGCCGUAUGAGCAAGAUCUCAUUUAUUCCAAGUUUGUUUCCGACGCAUGCAUCCACACCGUUCAAACUCACUUCGGCAUCUCGGCUCUGGUUUCCUUUGUGACUAAGCAAAACAUCUUAAGCCGCCGCGAUCGAUCAAUCAUUGCUUGUGUGAUCGGGCCUAAUUUGCUUUUUCACGCUGCUUUUCCUCGCGCGCCCGGCCCCUGCUCUUCUCGUCCCCCACCAACUCCGGCGGCCCGGCCUCAGGUUCUUCUCCCUCUCGCCGUCGCUGCUCUGCUACCACCGGAACCCGAGGACCCGACCGAUGGAGUUCUCCCGCCGUGGCCGAGCCACCGACGACGCCGGCGACGGCCAACGCUUCCCUGACCCUCCGCCGCACGGUAACCGUCGAGUCACUGUCACUCUUACCUUCUCCUCGCUGUCUGCCGAUCGUUUAUCACCUUUUGGUUGUUUCAGUUUUCCUGGGUUCAGAUGCAGGCGCUGGUUCGAUUCCAAGCCAAGAACUCGGGAACCUCGACCGCUGGGAGUGGGAUACCUUACAAUUUAUACUAGAGAACUAUAUUUCGGAUCUGUUUGUGAGGCACAAGAUAAAAGAAUCGGACAUAGUUUGUGCAAUCUUACCGCCAAAAGAAUAAAAAACACUUGCAAAUGUAGUAGUACAACUCUUCCACCGACAGAUCAUAUGUUGUAGAGCGGUUGUGCAAAGGGACGCGCUGGUGUAGAAUUCUUGUCACGCUGACACAUCUAAUGGCCGCACAAUGCUGCUGAUGCACGCAGGAGACCCGAUGCUGGUGAUGAGGGACGCGCUGCUGUGGCAGCUCCAGAAGGACCGCCUUCGCCAGGAGAUCAUCGUGGCCGAGCUGGCCAAGAUAGAGCGUGCCAUGGCCCUGCAUACCACUGGAGUUUCUGUUUAUACUUUAGAGGCUUCCCUUACAAUUUUCAUUAAAAAAAUGACACCAUGAUACGAAUCUGAAAAGACAGUGUAAAUAAUCAUAAUUUUCUGUGGUGAUAGAAUAUAUUAUGAUGAGCUACUUUGCAAAAACAAUAGUAUUUGGGGGUGUAAAUUGCUAAAACAAAUCUCAUCUAAGCCCUUCCUCAAAAAUUUCCUUCAUAGUUCGGUCCGAGGCUGGGCCCCCUCGGUCUCAACAUAGCUCCGCCAGUGGUGUCCACCCAAACAUAAUACAACCAGUGUCACAACUGCAUGAUUGACACAUUGAAAUUCGAAGUGCGGUCCGAGGCUGGGCUCCCUUCAUUCCUUUAUAUAAGGUGUAUUUGUUUUUCCUAAACUAGAUCAUGAUAGGCGCGCGUUGCCGCGCCCGUUCAUUUUUUCGAUAGAAUAAUAGGAAAUCCAUAAAAAUGUAUGAUGGCAUAAAACACACACAACCAAUUCCCAAAAAAUGGAAGGACACACUCUGAACUACAAAUAAUCAAAUAACACAAUGACAUAUUUUCUAAGUCAUUCAGCAGCCAGGUUGAGCUACCGGCUAUUUUUUUGCACUAAAAUGAAACAAAUUUAAUUCUAACAAACGGAUGUGAAACCUCUUUUACCGGGAAGGAUUGCCAUAGUCCGGAGAUGGAGACAAACAAAGAUGGUUUUCCCGUCUCAUCAACAUUUUUUUUAGAACGAAGGCUCGCGAUGAGCCCGGCUUUGAAUUAACGAAGCCAUCAACCGGCCAGGAAUUACAACACCACAUCAAGCACAUCGGCCGAAUGAUACAAGGGAGCACCCUAGGAAACUUACAACUCAACGCAGUAUACAAGCUCACAACAUAAAGAAGAGAAAGCCCAAGCUAGUACACGCCGCAGACCGCAGCAACCAAGAACCAAGGAUUGCGACCAACAUGAACACGACGAGGACCUGCCAAAACAGAGUGGAGUUGUGGACAUGACUGAGUCCAAGGUUGGAGGAAACAAAUCAUCUUCCUUUGCUCUCGCCGUAGAGGGACCCUACCCUCUCGCCUUGGAUCGAAAGGCGCCGCCGACGGACAUGAGAGACACUCUCCCUAGAGCAGGAGAGAUGUCGACCUCGAGUCCUGGAACAGGCACAGAGCACACCUCCUAGGACAUAAGCACACCUCGUAUGACACACCGGCGCAACCAAGGACCCCUGAAAGACAGCGGGAAAGCCACCGGGAGCAGCCACUGAAGAACGAGCAGCAAGGACAUCAGGAGAGGUCGCAGAGCGACGAGGGCGAGCCGGACCUCCCCAUAGCCACCUGAGAACCAUAGCCGCCCAAAACUCCACCUUUGUCGCCCCUCACCCGAACGCACGCUCCCCAGGCGGCACCUCCAAGGAGGACACGACGCGCAGCACGCUGUCACCGCCCAAUCCAAGAAGGAUUUUGGGCUUUCACCGGGAGGGGAACGGGGGUGGAUUGGGUGGGACCUCGGCUGCACCUUCAAUGAGGAAGGGCGGCGCCCAAGGGCGUCGCUGCCGCCGGACCGGAACAGCCGACCGAUGGUUUCCCACGGUCCCAAAACCACACCACCAGGCACCCAUCCACGCCUAUCCGGCGACCGAAGCUGCUGAAACCGGCGAGGGUGAGGAGCCAAAGGGAAGGGGAGCCGAACCUCAGAUCUGGCGGGGGGUCUCCACGCCACAGCCACCACCCGCCGCCGUCCCACCACCUGCCUGGUCGGGAACACCGGCCGAGAUCCCCCGCGGAUGCCGCCAGCCGGGGGGACGCCGCCGCCGCGCCAUGAAGGGCCGCCGCCCCAGAUCCGCCGUCCUCCUCCAGGAACGGAGCGAGCAGGGCCUCGCCGCCACCUUCACCGGCGACCGCGCAGNNNNNNNNNNUUUAUCACCUUUUGGUUGUUUCAGUUUUCCUGGGUUCAGAUGCAGGCGCUGGUUCGAUUCCAAGCCAAGAACUCGGGAACCUCGACCGCUGGGAGUGGGAUACCUUACAAUUUAUACUAGAGAACUAUAUUUCGGAUCUGUUUGUGAGGCACAAGAUAAAAGAAUCGGACAUAGUUUGUGCAAUCUUACCGCCAAAAGAAUAAAAAACACUUGCAAAUGUAGUAGUACAACUCUUCCACCGACAGAUCAUAUGUUGUAGAGCGGUUGUGCAAAGGGACGCGCUGGUGUAGAAUUCUUGUCACGCUGACACAUCUAAUGGCCGCACAAUGCUGCUGAUGCACGCAGGAGACCCGAUGCUGGUGAUGAGGGACGCGCUGCUGUGGCAGCUCCAGAAGGACCGCCUUCGCCAGGAGAUCAUCGUGGCCGAGCUGGCCAAGAUAGAGCGUGCCAUGGCCCUGCAUACCACUGGAGUUUCUGUUUAUACUUUAGAGGCUUCCCUUACAAUUUUCAUUAAAAAAAUGACACCAUGAUACGAAUCUGAAAAGACAGUGUAAAUAAUCAUAAUUUUCUGUGGUGAUAGAAUAUAUUAUGAUGAGCUACUUUGCAAAAACAAUAGUAUUUGGGGGUGUAAAUUGCUAAAACAAAUCUCAUNNNNNNNNNNGCCACAGCCACCACCCGCCGCCGUCCCACCACCUGCCUGGUCGGGAACACCGGCCGAGAUCCCCCGCGGAUGCCGCCAGCCGGGGGGACGCCGCCGCCGCGCCAUGAAGGGCCGCCGCCCCAGAUCCGCCGUCCUCCUCCAGGAACGGAGCGAGCAGGGCCUCGCCGCCACCUUCACCGGCGACCGCGCAGGCUUGCUGGCGGCCUCCUCGGGUGGCGACGAGGGGGGGAGGAGGCAGGGGGGGCGGCGCUAGGUGGGAACCCUAGUCGCCUCCCGAGUCGCCCGAACGGACGACGCGGGGGCGGGGGGGGGGGCGUUGAUCGGCUCUUGAAUUUGUCUCAUCAACAUCAUCAGCACAUAUUGAAAAGUACACCUAUAAACUUGUCAUUUUUUUGAGAGAAUACAUGUAAUCCCCUUUGUCAAAUAUGAGGCAUUGAAAAAAUACCCAAUAAUAGUGUGACAAUACUGUAACUAAUCGCCCAACCAGCUCCAGCCGGUCAUGACGCAUGCAUGUCUUUGUCGCUGUGAUGUAAAGCUUGACAAGAAUAAAGAAAACUGAGAAUAUCAUGGUGCCUGCUAUUCCUAGCAGCAAGAGUAUAUAUAUACUUCCCAAACCAAAUAGUUGAAGUUGGAACUGUUUCACCUAAAUUAAAUAACCUCCAACCACCUCGAGCCGGUCAUGAUGCAUGCAUGUUUUUUUCGUUUGAAUAGCCUGCAAGGUAUCAUCAGUUAUUUGUGAAUAUGUCAAAAGCUAAUAACUGACCUAUUUGUGAAGAUGUAAAAAGCUAACAACUGACCUAACAUAACUAUUGUAUUCCGAAGCUUGUUAAAAUCAACAAACUGAAAGCAAACCAAAUACAUUUAUUAUGAAUGGAAUAUUUUGCCUGAUCCAUGAACAGGUUGAAUAAUUUGUCAAUUAGGCUCGGGUGACCAGCCAAUAUGCUUGAGGAAUUACACCUGCAUUAGUCAAACAAACACACAGAUUUAGAUUCACAAGACCAAUUUACUCAAUGAAACAAAACAAUGUCUAAAUACUCUUAACUUGGUAGUCCUGGAUAAAAAUAAUGAUCUUGUUCUUAGUCGAUGUACUACAACACAUGAAAAUAGGCCAAACCAAUGAAUGGAUGCCCACAGAAAGAACGCAGAAAUCUCCAAAUUUCUGCCCACUCAAUUUAUAAAAUAACUAAUGCAGCUAGCAGACAUACCUCUCAACAUUCCUACCAUAGCCUCUAUAAGCUGGAAUUCUAGGAGUAUUGGUUAUUUUCAUAUGUUACAACCUGUUAUUUUUCCUCAACGCUGCAACAACACCACACCAUGCAAAUAUAAUUUAACAUAUGUAAAGUGAAAAAAACUGCAUGUGUCCUGUAAACGUGCCGCUUCAAAUGUACCGAAUCAAGCAUCGCUUCAGGUCAUCCAGCUCAGAGAAAAGCUGUUGUACCAUUACACAGAAGUAACUCACAAAAUGUCUGGCUUAAUCAGAAUAAGGAUGGCCUAAAUAGCUCACAAAAUAAAUGAUAGAGCUUGACAGAAAAUAUAUUUAAUUUAAUUUGAAGAGAGGUCAAAAAUCUGGAAUCAGCUUCCGUCAUGGAAAGGGGAUUUCAGUUAUGAACACAAUGUACAUACAUGAGAAAAAAACAUAGAACCAGUGAUAACUUAGUGAGGAGCCAAUCAUGAAACCAGUGAAUUAGUAUGAAGAUAUUGAAUUUGCAACAAAUUAGAAAUAGAUACAGCAGCCAAGGAAAAACAUCCUAGAAGCGAAAGUUGGCCUUACAUUAGAAAAUAGACACAUUUUGCACAGCAAAGAAAAUUAGAUCUACUGAUCUCCACUGCCAUAUUCUUUUUUUUCUUAAACAUGUCCACUGUCACAUGUUUCUUAUAAUGCAUGAAAGAAGUAGAAAGAGAUAUAGCAUAUAUCGAAGAUCAAAAAUGCUGGGGAGAGGGAAAGAAAAAAAGUACUUCAAUACAUCCCCAAUAUACUUUCAAUCAAAACACCNNNNNNNNNNUUUAUCACCUUUUGGUUGUUUCAGUUUUCCUGGGUUCAGAUGCAGGCGCUGGUUCGAUUCCAAGCCAAGAACUCGGGAACCUCGACCGCUGGGAGUGGGAUACCUUACAAUUUAUACUAGAGAACUAUAUUUCGGAUCUGUUUGUGAGGCACAAGAUAAAAGAAUCGGACAUAGUUUGUGCAAUCUUACCGCCAAAAGAAUAAAAAACACUUGCAAAUGUAGUAGUACAACUCUUCCACCGACAGAUCAUAUGUUGUAGAGCGGUUGUGCAAAGGGACGCGCUGGUGUAGAAUUCUUGUCACGCUGACACAUCUAAUGGCCGCACAAUGCUGCUGAUGCACGCAGGAGACCCGAUGCUGGUGAUGAGGGACGCGCUGCUGUGGCAGCUCCAGAAGGACCGCCUUCGCCAGGAGAUCAUCGUGGCCGAGCUGGCCAAGAUAGAGCGUGCCAUGGCCCUGCAUACCACUGGAGUUUCUGUUUAUACUUUAGAGGCUUCCCUUACAAUUUUCAUUAAAAAAAUGACACCAUGAUACGAAUCUGAAAAGACAGUGUAAAUAAUCAUAAUUUUCUGUGGUGAUAGAAUAUAUUAUGAUGAGCUACUUUGCAAAAACAAUAGUAUUUGGGGGUGUAAAUUGCUAAAACAAAUCUCAUNNNNNNNNNNAUUUUUUCGAUAGAAUAAUAGGAAAUCCAUAAAAAUGUAUGAUGGCAUAAAACACACACAACCAAUUCCCAAAAAAUGGAAGGACACACUCUGAACUACAAAUAAUCAAAUAACACAAUGACAUAUUUUCUAAGUCAUUCAGCAGCCAGGUUGAGCUACCGGCUAUUUUUUUGCACUAAAAUGAAACAAAUUUAAUUCUAACAAACGGAUGUGAAACCUCUUUUACCGGGAAGGAUUGCCAUAGUCCGGAGAUGGAGACAAACAAAGAUGGUUUUCCCGUCUCAUCAACAUUUUUUUUAGAACGAAGGCUCGCGAUGAGCCCGGCUUUGAAUUAACGAAGCCAUCAACCGGCCAGGAAUUACAACACCACAUCAAGCACAUCGGCCGAAUGAUACAAGGGAGCACCCUAGGAAACUUACAACUCAACGCAGUAUACAAGCUCACAACAUAAAGAAGAGAAAGCCCAAGCUAGUACACGCCGCAGACCGCAGCAACCAAGAACCAAGGAUUGCGACCAACAUGAACACGACGAGGACCUGCCAAAACAGAGUGGAGUUGUGGACAUGACUGAGUCCAAGGUUGGAGGAAACAAAUCAUCUUCCUUUGCUCUCGCCGUAGAGGGACCCUACCCUCUCGCCUUGGAUCGAAAGGCGCCGCCGACGGACAUGAGAGACACUCUCCCUAGAGCAGGAGAGAUGUCGACCUCGAGUCCUGGAACAGGCACAGAGCACACCUCCUAGGACAUAAGCACACCUCGUAUGACACACCGGCGCAACCAAGGACCCCUGAAAGACAGCGGGAAAGCCACCGGGAGCAGCCACUGAAGAACGAGCAGCAAGGACAUCAGGAGAGGUCGCAGAGCGACGAGGGCGAGCCGGACCUCCCCAUAGCCACCUGAGAACCAUAGCCNNNNNNNNNNAAAUAUAUUUAAUUUAAUUUGAAGAGAGGUCAAAAAUCUGGAAUCAGCUUCCGUCAUGGAAAGGGGAUUUCAGUUAUGAACACAAUGUACAUACAUGAGAAAAAAACAUAGAACCAGUGAUAACUUAGUGAGGAGCCAAUCAUGAAACCAGUGAAUUAGUAUGAAGAUAUUGAAUUUGCAACAAAUUAGAAAUAGAUACAGCAGCCAAGGAAAAACAUCCUAGAAGCGAAAGUUGGCCUUACAUUAGAAAAUAGACACAUUUUGCACAGCAAAGAAAAUUAGAUCUACUGAUCUCCACUGCCAUAUUCUUUUUUUUCUUAAACAUGUCCACUGUCACAUGUUUCUUAUAAUGCAUGAAAGAAGUAGAAAGAGAUAUAGCAUAUAUCGAAGAUCAAAAAUGCUGGGGAGAGGGAAAGAAAAAAAGUACUUCAAUACAUCCCCAAUAUACUUUCAAUCAAAACACCCAGCUCUAACAUGAAAAAAGAUGUUAUUGACCAAUCUGCAGCUGUAUAGUGAGUUGGUAAUCAAUUAUUUGGAGAACAGAGACAUUAGACUUUUUUGCUACAGAAUACAGGUAUCGGAAAUAUAUGUCCUCACAAACGUCCUGAUAUCUGAUUGACAUCGACCAAAUCCAAAAGAUACAUCAGAAAGCUAUGUCUAGUCGUGAGCAGUGAGGAUUACAGGGUUAGAAUAUCUGAAUAUUUAGGAGGAUAAAUACCCGAAGAUAUCAUAUUUUUCACAUCAUAUCUGGUGAACACUGACAUCAUAUCGGCAAUUCAUCAAACAGUUCAAGUGCAAAGGCUAAAGCGCCAUCUCAACAGAAAGAAAUUGGAAAUAUGGUAGUUGUAGAGNNNNNNNNNNAUUUUUUCGAUAGAAUAAUAGGAAAUCCAUAAAAAUGUAUGAUGGCAUAAAACACACACAACCAAUUCCCAAAAAAUGGAAGGACACACUCUGAACUACAAAUAAUCAAAUAACACAAUGACAUAUUUUCUAAGUCAUUCAGCAGCCAGGUUGAGCUACCGGCUAUUUUUUUGCACUAAAAUGAAACAAAUUUAAUUCUAACAAACGGAUGUGAAACCUCUUUUACCGGGAAGGAUUGCCAUAGUCCGGAGAUGGAGACAAACAAAGAUGGUUUUCCCGUCUCAUCAACAUUUUUUUUAGAACGAAGGCUCGCGAUGAGCCCGGCUUUGAAUUAACGAAGCCAUCAACCGGCCAGGAAUUACAACACCACAUCAAGCACAUCGGCCGAAUGAUACAAGGGAGCACCCUAGGAAACUUACAACUCAACGCAGUAUACAAGCUCACAACAUAAAGAAGAGAAAGCCCAAGCUAGUACACGCCGCAGACCGCAGCAACCAAGAACCAAGGAUUGCGACCAACAUGAACACGACGAGGACCUGCCAAAACAGAGUGGAGUUGUGGACAUGACUGAGUCCAAGGUUGGAGGAAACAAAUCAUCUUCCUUUGCUCUCGCCGUAGAGGGACCCUACCCUCUCGCCUUGGAUCGAAAGGCGCCGCCGACGGACAUGAGAGACACUCUCCCUAGAGCAGGAGAGAUGUCGACCUCGAGUCCUGGAACAGGCACAGAGCACACCUCCUAGGACAUAAGCACACCUCGUAUGACACACCGGCGCAACCAAGGACCCCUGAAAGACAGCGGGAAAGCCACCGGGAGCAGCCACUGAAGAACGAGCAGCAAGGACAUCAGGAGAGGUCGCAGAGCGACGAGGGCGAGCCGGACCUCCCCAUAGCCACCUGAGAACCAUAGCCGCCCAAAACUCCACCUUUGUCGCCCCUCACCCGAACGCACGCUCCCCAGGCGGCACCUCCAAGGAGGACACGACGCGCAGCACGCUGUCACCGCCCAAUCCAAGAAGGAUUUUGGGCUUUCACCGGGAGGGGAACGGGGGUGGAUUGGGUGGGACCUCGGCUGCACCUUCAAUGAGGAAGGGCGGCGCCCAAGGGCGUCGCUGCCGCCGGACCGGAACAGCCGACCGAUGGUUUCCCACGGUCCCAAAACCACACCACCAGGCACCCAUCCACGCCUAUCCGGCGACCGAAGCUGCUGAAACCGGCGAGGGUGAGGAGCCAAAGGGAAGGGGAGCCGAACCUCAGAUCUGGCGGGGGGUCUCCACGCCACAGCCACCACCCGCCGCCGUCCCACCACCUGCCUGGUCGGGAACACCGGCCGAGAUCCCCCGCGGAUGCCGCCAGCCGGGGGGACGCCGCCGCCGCGCCAUGAAGGGCCGCCGCCCCAGAUCCGCCGUCCUCCUCCAGGAACGGAGCGAGCAGGGCCUCGCCGCCACCUUCACCGGCGACCGCGCAGNNNNNNNNNNACAUGAAAAAAGAUGUUAUUGACCAAUCUGCAGCUGUAUAGUGAGUUGGUAAUCAAUUAUUUGGAGAACAGAGACAUUAGACUUUUUUGCUACAGAAUACAGGUAUCGGAAAUAUAUGUCCUCACAAACGUCCUGAUAUCUGAUUGACAUCGACCAAAUCCAAAAGAUACAUCAGAAAGCUAUGUCUAGUCGUGAGCAGUGAGGAUUACAGGGUUAGAAUAUCUGAAUAUUUAGGAGGAUAAAUACCCGAAGAUAUCAUAUUUUUCACAUCAUAUCUGGUGAACACUGACAUCAUAUCGGCAAUUCAUCAAACAGUUCAAGUGCAAAGGCUAAAGCGCCAUCUCAACAGAAAGAAAUUGGAAAUAUGGUAGUUGUAGAGAGUGCCACGGCAGGUUAGCAUGGUCCAUACCUUUAGAUCGCUGCAGAGGUGCACGUAUAGGAGGGGUCGGGGCAUACACAUCCACAUGCUGCCAUUGUAGACACCGUAACCGGCCGUGCCUCCAUCAGCAAGUGACCGAUGCUAUUUCGAUCGCGCCAAAAGAUCAUAUGACGUAUGAUCGUACCUUGCUUGCCGGGGGCUCGACCGAGGUAGGAUCCAGCAACGGGGCAACCGAGAAGUUCAAACCCGGCGUAGAAAGAAGCUGGACCAGGCCUGCGGCGGCAACUCGCCCACCAUCUCCUUCUUGUGCUUGCGGUCUUUCGGAUCCUCGUGCGUGUCCGACGUGUACCCGCCGUCGGGGGUGCCUUUGUCGCUCGGUCGAGAGAGGGAUGUCGUGGCUCGAGGUUGGCGUCGACAGUGGCAGCGGCGGCGGUGACGCACAACGAUACGGUCGGAGGCGAGGUCAAGGGGGUGCCUUCGUCGCUCGGGUGAGAGAGGAACGCCGUGGCUGGAGGUUGGCGUCGACAGUGGCAGUGGCGGCGGCGGCGAGGGGAGGUCGGGGAAAGAGAUAGACGAAGGAGAGGGACGUGUUUGCGGGCUUCGUGGGGUUGAAUGAGCUCCGAGUGUAAACAGGCCCGAUUAACCAGAGGCCACCGUUUUUUCUCUCGGAGUAGGAGCCGCUUAGACAGCGGCCCAGUUAGCGCGAAACUGAGCAUCGGACGGCCAAGAUGACCCAGAUUCUUAAUCUGACGGCCAAAAUCUUCAAAUGCGUGAGAGGGCUGGAAUAGUGCGCGGUUGUAAUGUAUUUAAAUAUUCCACAAUGUAAGGUGUAUUUCGCUUUUCCUCUCAUAUUUUCAUGUGUGCCCUCUCAUAUUUAUCACCUUUUGGUUGUUUCAGUUUUCCUGGGUUCAGAUGCAGGCGCUGGUUCGAUUCCAAGCCAAGAACUCGGGAACCUCGACCGCUGGGAGUGGGAUACCUUACAAUUUAUACUAGAGAACUAUAUUUCGGAUCUGUUUGUGAGGCACAAGAUAAAAGAAUCGGACAUAGUUUGUGCAAUCUUACCGCCAAAAGAAUAAAAAACACUUGCAAAUGUAGUAGUACAACUCUUCCACCGACAGAUCAUAUGUUGUAGAGCGGUUGUGCAAAGGGACGCGCUGGUGUAGAAUUCUUGUCACGCUGACACAUCUAAUGGCCGCACAAUGCUGCUGAUGCACGCAGGAGACCCGAUGCUGGUGAUGAGGGACGCGCUGCUGUGGCAGCUCCAGAAGGACCGCCUUCGCCAGGAGAUCAUCGUGGCCGAGCUGGCCAAGAUAGAGCGUGCCAUGGCCCUGCAUACCACUGGAGUUUCUGUUUAUACUUUAGAGGCUUCCCUUACAAUUUUCAUUAAAAAAAUGACACCAUGAUACGAAUCUGAAAAGACAGUGUAAAUAAUCAUAAUUUUCUGUGGUGAUAGAAUAUAUUAUGAUGAGCUACUUUGCAAAAACAAUAGUAUUUGGGGGUGUAAAUUGCUAAAACAAAUCUCAUGUAAGCCCUUCCUCAAAAAUUUCCUUCAUAGUUCGGUCCGAGGCUGGGCCCCCUCGGUCUCAACAUAGCUCCGCCAGUGGUGUCCACCCAAACAUAAUACAACCAGUGUCACAACUGCAUGAUUGACACAUUGAAAUUCGAAGUGCGGUCCGAGGCUGGGCUCCCUUCAUUCCUUUAUAUAAGGUGUAUUUGUUUUUCCUAAACUAGAUCAUGAUAGGCGCGCGUUGCCGCGCCCGUUUAUUUUUUCGAUAGAAUAAUAGGAAAUCCAUAAAAAUGUAUGAUGGCAUAAAACACACACAACCAAUUCCCAAAAAAUGGAAGGACACACUCUGAACUACAAAUAAUCAAAUAACACAAUGACAUAUUUUCUAAGUCAUUCAGCAGCCAGGUUGAGCUACCGGCUAUUUUUUUGCACUAAAAUGAAACAAAUUUAAUUCUAACAAACGGAUGUGAAACCUCUUUUACCGGGAAGGAUUGCCAUAGUCCGGAGAUGGAGACAAACAAAGAUGGUUUUCCCGUCUCAUCAACAUUUUUUUUAGAACGAAGGCUCGCGAUGAGCCCGGCUUUGAAUUAACGAAGCCAUCAACCGGCCAGGAAUUACAACACCACAUCAAGCACAUCGGCCGAAUGAUACAAGGGAGCACCCUAGGAAACUUACAACUCAACGCAGUAUACAAGCUCACAACAUAAAGAAGAGAAAGCCCAAGCUAGUACACGCCGCAGACCGCAGCAACCAAGAACCAAGGAUUGCGACCAACAUGAACACGACGAGGACCUGCCAAAACAGAGUGGAGUUGUGGACAUGACUGAGUCCAAGGUUGGAGGAAACAAAUCAUCUUCCUUUGCUCUCGCCGUAGAGGGACCCUACCCUCUCGCCUUGGAUCGAAAGGCGCCGCCGACGGACAUGAGAGACACUCUCCCUAGAGCAGGAGAGAUGUCGACCUCGAGUCCUGGAACAGGCACAGAGCACACCUCCUAGGACAUAAGCACACCUCGUAUGACACACCGGCGCAACCAAGGACCCCUGAAAGACAGCGGGAAAGCCACCGGGAGCAGCCACUGAAGAACGAGCAGCAAGGACAUCAGGAGAGGUCGCAGAGCGACGAGGGCGAGCCGGACCUCCCCAUAGCCACCUGAGAACCAUAGCCACCCAAAACUCCACCUUUGUCGCCCCUCACCCGAACGCACGCUCCCCAGGCGGCACCUCCAAGGAGGACACGACGCGCAGCGCGCUGUCACCGCCCAAUCCAAGAAGGAUUUUGGGCUUUCACCGGGAGGGGAACGGGGGUGGAUUGGGUGGGACCUCGGCUGCACCUCCAACGAGGAAGGGCGGCGCCCAAGGGCGUCGCUGCCGCCGGACCGGAACAGCCGACCGAUGGUUUCCCACGGUCCCAAAACCACACCACCAGGCACCCAUCCAUGCCUAUCCGGCGACCGAAGCUGCUGAAACCGGCGAGGGUGAGGAGCCAAAGGGAAGGGGAGCCGAACCUCAGAUCUGGCGGGGGGUCUCCAUGCCACAGCCACCACCCGCCGCCGUCCCACCACCUGCCUGGUCGGGAACACCGGCCGAGAUCCCCCGCGGAUGCCGCCAGCCGGGGGGACGCCGCCGCCGCGCCAUGAAGGGCCGCCGCCCCAGAUCCGCCGUCCUCCUCCAGGAACGGAGCGAGCAGGGCCUCGCCGCCACCUUCACCGGCGACCGCGCAGNNNNNNNNNNNNNNNNNNNNNNNNNNNNNNNNNNNNNNNNNNNNNNNNNNNNNNNNNNNNNNNNNNNNNNNNNNNNNNNNNNNNNNNNNNNNNNNNNNNNNNNNNNNNNNNNNNNNNNNNNNNNNNNNNNNNNNNNNNNNNNNNNNNNNNNNNNNNNNNNNNNNNNNNNNNNNNNNNNNNNNNNNNNNNNNNNNNNNNNNNNNNNNNNNNNNNNNNNNNNNNNNNNNNNNNNNNNNNNNNNNNNNNNNNNNNNNNNNNNNNNNNNNNNNNNNNNNNNNNNNNNNNNNNNNNNNNNNNNNNNNNNNNNNNNNNNNNNNNNNNNNNNNNNNNNNNNNNNNNNNNNNNNNNNNNNNNNNNNNNNNNNNNNNNNNNNNNNNNNNNNNNNNNNNNNNNNNNNNNNNNNNNNNNNNNNNNNNNNNNNNNNNNNNNNNNNNNNNNNNNNNNNNNNNNNNNNNNNNNNNNNNNNNNNNNNNNNNNNNNNNNNNNNNNNNNNNNNNNNNNNNNNNNNNNNNNNNNNNNNNNNNNNNNNNNNNNNNNNNNNNNNNNNNNNNNNNNNNNNNNNNNGGGGGGGGGCGUUGAUCGGCUCUUGAAUUUGUCUCAUCAACAUCAUCAGCACAUAUUGAAAAGUACACCUAUAAACUUGUCAUUUUUUUGAGAGAAUACAUGUAAUCCCCUUUGUCAAAUAUGAGGCAUUGAAAAAAUACCCAAUAAUAAUGUGACAAUACUGUAACUAAUCGCCCAACCAGCUCCAGCCGGUCAUGACGCAUGCAUGUCUUUGUCGCUGUGAUGUAAAGCUUGACAAGAAUAAAGAAAACUGAGAAUAUCAUGGUGCCUGCUAUUCCUAGCAGCAAGAGUAUAUAUAUACUUCCCAAACCAAAUAGUUGAAGUUGAAACUGUUUCACCUAAAUUAAAUAACCUCCAACCACCUUGAGCCGGUCAUGAUGCAUGCAUGUUUUUUUCGUUUGAAUAGCCUGCAAGGUAUCAUCAGUUAUUUGUGAAUAUGUCAAAAGCUAAUAACUGACCUAUUUGUGAAGAUGAAAAAGCUAACAACUGACCUAACAUAACUAUUGUAUUCCGAAGCUUGUUAAAAUCAACAAACCGAAAGCAAACCAAAUACAUUUAUUAUGAAUGGAAUAUUUUGCCUGAUCCAUGAACAGGUUGAAUAAUUUGUCAAUUAGGCUCGGGUGACCAGCCAAUAUGUUUGAGGAAUUACACCUGCAUUAGUCAAACAAACACACAGAUUUAGAUUCACAAGACCAAUUUACUCAAUGAAACAAAACAAUGUCUAAAUACUCUUAACUUGGUAGUCCUGGAUAAAAAUAAUGAUCUUGUUCUUAGUCGAUGUACUACAACACAUGAAAAUAGGCCAGACCAAUGAAUGGAUGCCCACAGAAAGAACGCAGAAAUCUCCAAAUUUCUGCCCACUCAAUUUAUAAAAUAACUAAUGCAGCUAGCAGACAUACCUCUCAACAUUCCUACCAUAGCCUCUAUAAGCUGGAAUUCUAGGAGUAUUGGUUAUUUUCAUAUGUUACAACUUGUUAUUUUUCCUCAACGCUGCAACAACACCACACCAUGCAAAUAUAUUUAACAUAUGUAAAGUGAAAAAAACUGCAUGUGUCCUGUAAACGUGCCGCUUCAAAUGUAUCGAAUCAAGCAUCGCUUCAGGUCAUCCAGCUCAGAGAAAAGCUGUUGUACCAUUACACAGAAGUAACUCACAAAAUGUCUGGCUUAAUCAGAAUAAGGAUGGCCUAAAUAGCUCACAAAAUAAAUGAUAGAGCUUGACAGCAAAUAUAUUUAAUUUAAUUUGAAGAGAGGUCAAAAAUCUGGAAUCAGCUUCCGUCAUGGAAAGGGGAUUUCAGUUAUGAACACAAUGUACAUACAUGAGAAAAAAACAUAGAACCAGUGAUAACUUAGUGAGGAGCCAAUCAUGAAACCAGUGAAUUAGUAUGAAGAUAUUGAAUUUGCAACAAAUUAGAAAUAGAUACAGCAGCCAAGGAAAAACAUCCUAGAAGCGAAAGUUGGCCUUACAUUAGAAAAUAGACACAUUUUGCACAGCAAAGAAAAUUAGAUCUACUGAUCUCCACUGCCAUAUUCUUUUUUUUCUUAAACAUGUCCACUGUCACAUGUUUCUUAUAAUGCAUGAAAGAAGUAGAAAGAGAUAUAGCAUAUAUCGAAGAUCAAAAAUGCUGGGGAGAGGGAAAGAAAAAAAGUACUUCAAUACAUCCCCAAUAUACUUUCAAUCAAAACACCUAGCUCUUACAUGAAAAAAGAUGUUAUUGACCAAUCUGCAGCUGUAUAGUGAGUUGGUAAUCAAUUAUUUGGAGAACAGAGACAUUAGACUUUUUUGCUACAGAAUACAGGUAUCGGAAAUAUAUGUCCUCACAAACGUCCUGAUAUCUGAUUGACAUCGACCAAAUCCAAAAGAUACAUCAGAAAGCUAUGUCUAGUCGUGAGCAGUGAGGAUUACAGGGUUAGAAUAUCUGAAUAUUUAGGAGGAUAAAUACCCGAAGAUAUCAUAUUUUUCACAUCAUAUCUGGUGAACACUGACAUCAUAUCGGCAAUUCAUCAAACAGUUCAAGUGCAAAGGCUAAAGCGCCAUCUCAACAGAAAGAAAUUGGAAAUAUGGUAGUUGUAGAGUGCCACGGCAGGUUAGCAUGGUCCAUACCUUUAGAUCGCUGCAGAGGUGCACGUAUAGGAGGGGUCGGGGCAUACACAUCCACAUGCUGCCAUUGUAGACACCGUGACCGGCCGUGCCUCCAUCAGCAAGUGACCGAUGCUAUUUCGAUCGCGCCAAAAGAUCAUAUGACGUAUGAUCGUACCUUGCUUGCCGGGGGCUCGACCGAGGUAGGAUCCAGCAACGGGGCAACCGAGAAGUUCAAACCUGGCGUAGAAAGAAGCUGGACCAGGCCUGCGGCGGCAACUCGCCCACCAUCUCCUUCUUGUGCUUGCGGUCUUUCGGAUCCUCGUGCGUGUCCGACGUGUACCCGCCGUCGGGGGUGCCUUUGUCGCUCGGUCGAGAGAGGGAUGUCGUGGCUCGAGGUUGGCGUCGACAGUGGCAGCGGCGGCGGUGACGCACAACGAUACGGUCGGAGGCGAGGUCAAGGGGGUGCCUUCGUCGCUCGGGUGAGAGAGGAACGCCGUGGCUGGAGGUUGGUGUCGACAGUGGCAGUGGCGGCGGCGGCGAGGGGAGGUCGGGGAAAGAGAUAGACGAAGGAGAGGGACGUGUUUGCGGGCUUCGUGGGGUUGAAUGAGCUCCGAGUGUAAACAUGCCCGAUUAACCAGAGGCCACCGUUUUUUCUAUCGGAGUAGGAGCCGCUUAGACAGCGGCCCAGUUAGCGCGAAACUGAGCAUCGGACGGCCAAGAUGACCCAGAUUCUUAAUCUGACGGCCAAAAUCUUCAAAGGCGUGAGAGGGCUGGAAUAGUGCGCGGUUGUAAUGUAUUUAAAUAUUCCACAAUGUAAGGUGUAUUUCGCUUUUCCUCUCAUAUUUUCAUGUGUGCCCUUUCACCAUCCAGUACAUGCCUUCUAUGAAAAGUAGUAGAUACUCCUCAAUAGGAAGGUAGUAAAAAAAUCUCUCUCCCUGAUUGCAUGCGUUCACAUUUCUCUGUCUCUCAUCCCACCGACUAAUUUAUGGACAUAUAGUUUCUUAAAGUUGCUAACUUUUUUGGAUACGGAUAGAUCCGCUUCCGCAUAGGUAUUUCUUCUAAAAUUUGGUACCAAAUUUAUAUUUGUAAAGUAAGAUUGGAUAUUUCUCAUAUUCACUUCCAUUUUUGUUCUGAUGCAGAUGUUGACUUGCCAUACGCAUUUUAUCGAGGGACAUUUACAUUUAUGCUCCUAAUUUGCGCCCACUUUCAGAUUUACCCCUAAAUUUUUGAUGUGCUCAAAUUUGCCGCUAAAAAUCAUUUUAAGUCGCAGGAAUGCCCUCCCAUCUGGUUAAAGUUUUUUGACCAAAACUUUGAAAAUUCAUAACAAAUUCAUACGAAGUCAGAAAAAUGCAAAUAAGAUAUCCAAAUGUUCAUACAAACAUCACCUAUACGCGCAUGUCAUUUACGUUCCUCACCUACAUGUGCAUUUAUCUGUAUUCACCCUAAAUUGUUUUUAAUGUUAUAAACCCUAAAAAGCUUUAAAAAUUGCUUUUGUCAUGAACGUAAAUGACAUGUGCAUAUAGGUGUUGUUUUUAUGAGCAUUUUGAUAUCUUAUUUUGCAUUCUUAUAAGUUCAUAUGAAUUUGUUAUGAAUUUUCAAAGUUUUGGUCAAACAACUUUGACCAGAUGGAAGGGCAUUCCUGUGACUUAAAAUGCUUUUUAGGGGCAAAUUUGAGCACAUCAAAAAGUUAGGGGUAAAUUUGAGUAGUGGGUUCGAGUUAGGGGCACAAAUGUAAAUGUCCCUUUUAUCGAAUACGAAUAUCAAAUAUAUUAAAUUAUCUCCCGCCACUUUCCACGCUUAUAUACAUCUAACUCCCACUAAAAAAGGGAAACGUUUGGGUACGGAUGACCGGUCGAGCGCUCGGCCGGCCGCGUCGCGAGUCAGUGCGCCACAUCACCCUUCCAUGCGCCCGCACGACUAAUCACUAUGGGCCCCACUCCACCGCUAUUCCCCGUCGCUUCUUUUCUUAUCCUCAUCUCCUUUCUUCAUUUUCCUCAACCGCCUCUGCUUCAGACCACCAAAUCCACCAUGGACGUACAUCCCAGCUCUCUCUCAUCUACUCUACGCCUCGGCAGCUGGACGCCUGCACCCAAAGCCAACCGACAACCCCACCAUCCACCCCACAACAGGAGCGACCACGACGGGGGGCGCUCCUGCUGCUGCGACCGGUGGCGAUGCGCAGGGGCCAUGGCACGACGGUGUAGGAGGGUGCUCGUAGCCACCGUUGGGGGUGGUGCUGGAGCCGUUUGGGCAGUGUUGACGGCCGUCGUCCAUCCCCUCUUCCCCUGCCCCUCCAGCGCAACCAGCUAAUAAUUUUGCUGGAACUGGCCAGCGGAGAAUGGAACCGGUAGAGCGAUAAGCUGCAACCAAUAUUGGCGGUGAGUCGAACAUGCUGCAACCGACAAAUCACUAAGCUACAACCAACGUUUGUUUUUGCUGGGACUAGUGAAGCUUUUUGCUGCCAUCGACGACGGCGAGCCUUUUUUGCUGGAACUGGGUUUUUGUUUUGCUGGAACCAUGUUUUUGUUUUGGUGGAAUCAAACCAUUUGUUUUGCUAGAUUCAUACUAUCCAAGCUAACCGGCAGUGGGCAGUUGCCUGCAUGUCCAUGGCUGCAACCGCCCGUGAAAAAGCUGCCUCCAGCUAAUAGGAAAGUUGCCAUGGGCGCUCACAGAAGCUGCGACGACGGUGACCCGCGAGAUGGCAACGUGCUAGAACUAGGGCAGCAGGAUGCUCGAACCAACGGAGUUUUUUGCUGCGACCGGUGUUAUUCUUUGUUGGAACCGAAUGGUGUUUUUGCUGGCACCGCAUGUUUUUGCUGCAACAGCAUCAAAUUUUGCAGAAUUUGUUGUUUAUUUUUGCUGGAACCAGCAAUGUUGGGUGGUGGGAUGUUGAGGUGGUGGGGGUUCGCUUGCGCCGGCAGCGGUUUUUGGUUCGCCCACAACGUUUUUUGUUGGAUCAAUGCUUUUGUUUUGCUGCAUCCGUCGCUAGAGGAGCCGCACACAAACGACAGUGGAGCGGAGCCAGCAGUGGUGGACAUGCGGCCAGCGGCGCCCUACAGCACACCGGCAGUGCUGUGAGAUUGCAGGAACAAAGGGGGGCUGGGUGCGCUGCGAGAUGCAUGGCGCAGCGGGGGGAUUUUUCCAGCGAGAUGCGCGAUGUGGCGGGGUAUGCACGAGGUCGAAGACACUUGGAGGUGAAUCAGACGGUUGAGAAUAGUUGCAUCGUACGGCUGCAGGCCGACCGGCCAAAACGUUCGGCCGGCGCGCCGGCGCCUAUCAGUCGCCCCAAAAAAUGCCUAAUUCUCCUCGGUUAUUGGAAGGGAAAUCAUCUGCCCGUUUAAAAAAUGCAAAUGGUUUUUUGGAGGAAAUAUAAUCCGUCAUAUACAUGCAAUAAUCACCUGGAGUCUUUAUCACAGUUGCCGUAUGAGAGCUUAGCUAGUGUACAGCUGAAAGGUGGUUGCCCAGACUCAUUACACUUUGUCUGGUAGCGACACUUUAUGAUGGAGACAAAUCCGCAUAUCUAGAGGUAGGGAUUCUAAGCUAGUCCCUAAGCUAGAUGUCUUGGAACAAGGGUAACAAGGACAUAGGGAUUUUACCCAGGUUCGACUCUCUUGAAGAGAUAGUACCUUACAUCAUGCUUGUGACGCCCCCGAUUCAAUCGUACACUAAUCAUGCACGCAAACGUGUAUGAUCAAGAUCAGGGACUCACGGGAAGAUAUCACAACACAACUCUAAAAACAUAAAUAAGUCAUACAAGCAUCAUAAUACAAGCCAGGGGCCUCGAGGGCUCGAAUACAAGUGCUCGAUCAUAGACGAGUCAGCGGAAGCAACAAUAUCUGAGUACGGACAUAAGUUAAACAAGUUUGCCUUAAGAAGGCUAGCACAAACUGGGAUACAGAUCGAAAGAGGCGCAGGCCUCCUGCCUGGGAUCCUCCUAAACUACUCAUGGUCGUCGUCAGCAGCCUGCACGUAGUAGUAGGCACCUCCAGUGUAGUAGGAAUCAUCGUCGAUGGUGGCGUCUGGCUCCAGAGCUCCAGCAUCUGGUUGCGACAACCUGGUAGGAGGGAAAGAGGGAAAAAGGGGGGAGAAAGCAACCGUGAGUACUCAUCCAAAGUACUCGCAAGCAAGGAGCUACACUACAUAUGCAUGGGUAUAUGUGUAAAGGGCCAUGUCGGUGGACUGAACUGCAGAAUGCCAGAAUAAGAGGGGUAUAGCUAAUCCUGUCGAAGACUACGCUUCUGGCAGCCUCCGUCUUGUAGCAUGUAGAAGAGAGUAGAUUGAAGUCCUCCAAGUAGCAUCUCCAAGUAGCAUCUCCAAGUAGCAUCUCCAGUAGCAUCGCAUAGCAUAAUCCUACCCGGCAAUCCUCCCCUCGUCGCCCUGUGGAAAAGCGAUCACCGGGUUGUCUGUGGAACUUGGAAGGGUGUGUUUUAUUAAGUAUCAGGUUCUAGUUGUCAUAAGGUCAAGGUACAACUCCAAGUCGUCCUGUUACCGAAGAUCACGACUAUUCAAAUAGAUUAACUUCCCUGCAGGGGUGCACCAACUUACCCAGCACGCUUGAUCCCAUUUGGCCGGACACACUUUCCUGGGUCAUGCCGGCCUCGGAAGAUCAACAUGUCGCAGCCCCACCUAGGCAAAACAGAGAGGCCAACAUGCCGGUCUAAACCUAAGCGCACAUGGGUCUGGGCCCAUCGCCCAUAGCACACCUGCACGUUGCGAGGGCGGCCGGAAGCAGACCUAGCCUAACAGGCGUUCCAGUCCAAUCCGGCGCGCGCCGCUCCGUCGCUGACGUCUGAAGUGCUUCGGCUGAUACCACGACGUCGGGAUACCCAUAACUACUCCCGCGUAGAUGGUUAGUGCGUAUAGGCUCGUAGCCAACUCAGAUCAAAUACCAAGAUCUCGUUAAGCGUGUAAAUAUCCGCGAACGCCGAACAGGGCCAGGCCAACCUCUCUCCUAGGCGGUCUCAACCUGCCCUGUCGCUCCGCCACAAAGAUCCACUCGCGGGUGCUCCACCAGCCGACCCGACUUUAGUCUCCACAUGUAUCAUUUAUAAAGUAUAUACUCCCUCCGUUCCUAAAUACUUGUCUUUCUAGGCAUUUCAACAAAUGACUACAUACGGAGCAAAAUGAGUGAAUCUACACUCUAAAAUAUGUCUACAUACAUCCGUAUGUAGUAGUCAUUUGAAAUGUCUAGAAAGACAAGUAUUUAGGAACGGAGGGAGUAGUAUAUACCCGUGAUCACCUCCCAAGUGAUCGCGACCCGAUAGUAUAGCACAACAGACGGACAAGAAUGUAGGGCCACAGAUGGAAAUACUAGCAUCCUAUACUAGGCAAGUAGGAAUACAGGUAAAGGUAUCAACAGAAGUAGCAAAGACAGGCUAUGCAUCAGGGUAGGAAUAACGGAAAGCAGUAACAUGCUACACUACUCUAAUGCNNNNNNNNNNNNNNNNNNNNNNNNNNNNNNNNNNNNNNNNNNNNNNNNNNNNNNNNNNNNNNNNNNNNNNNNNNNNNNNNNNNNNNNNNNNNNNNNNNNNNNNNNNNNNNNNNNNNNNNNNNNNNNNNNNNNNNNNNNNNNNNNNNNNNNNNNNNNNNNNNNNNNNNNNNNNNNNNNNNNNNNNNNNNNNNNNNNNNNNNNNNNNNNNNNNNNNNNNNNNNNNNNNNNNNNNNNNNNNNNNNNNNNNNNNNNNNNNNNNNNNNNNNNNNNNNNNNNNNNNNNNNNNNNNNNNNNNNNNNNNNNNNNNNNNNNNNNNNNNNNNNNNNNNNNNNNNNNNNNNNNNNNNNNNNNNNNNNNNNNNNNNNNNNNNNNNNNNNNNNNNNNNNNNNNNNNNNNNNNNNNNNNNNNNNNNNNNNNNNNNNNNNNNNNNNNNNNNNNNNNNNNNNNNNNNNNNNNNNNNNNNNNNNNNNNNNNNNNNNNNNNNNNNNNNNNNNNNNNNNNNNNNNNNNNNNNNNNNNNNNNNNNNNNNNNNNNNNNNNNNNNNNNNNNNNNNNNNNNNNNNNNNNNNNNNNNNNNNNNNNNNNNNNNNNNNNNNNNNNNNNNNNNNNNNNNNNNNNNNNNNNNNNNNNNNNNNNNNNNNNNNNNNNNNNNNNNNNNNNNNNNNNNNNNNNNNNNNNNNNNNNNNNNNNNNNNNNNNNNNNNNNNNNNNNNNNNNNNNNNNNNNNNNNNNNNNNNNNNNNNNNNNNNNNNNNNNNNNNNNNNNNNNNNNNNNNNNNNNNNNNNNNNNNNNNNNNNNNNNNNNNNNNNNNNNNNNNNNNNNNNNNNNNNNNNNNNNNNNNNNNNNNNNNNNNNNNNNNNNNNNNNNNNNNNNNNNNNNNNNNNNNNNNNNNNNNNNNNNNNNNNNNNNNNNNNNNNNNNNNNNNNNNNNNNNNNNNNNNNNNNNNNNNNNNNNNNNNNNNNNNNNNNNNNNNNNNNNNNNNNNNNNNNNNNNNNNNNNNNNNNNNNNNNNNNNNNNNNNNNNNNNNNNNNNNNNNNNNNNNNNNNNNNNNNNNNNNNNNNNNNNNNNNNNNNNNNNNNNNNNNNNNNNNNNNNNNNNNNNNNNNNNNNNNNNNNNNNNNNNNNNNNNNNNNNNNNNNNNNNNNNNNNNNNNNNNNNNNNNNNNNNNNNNNNNNNNNNNNNNNNNNNNNNNNNNNNNNNNNNNNNNNNNNNNNNNNNNNNNNNNNNNNNNNNNNNNNNNNNNNNNNNNNNNNNNNNNNNNNNNNNNNNNNNNNNNNNNNNNNNNNNNNNNNNNNNNNNNNNNNNNNNNNNNNNNNNNNNNNNNNNNNNNNNNNNNNNNNNNNNNNNNNNNNNNNNNNNNNNNNNNNNNNNNNNNNNNNNNNNNNNNNNNNNNNNNNNNNNNNNNNNNNNNNNNNNNNNNNNNNNNNNNNNNNNNNNNNNNNNNNNNNNNNNNNNNNNNNNNNNNNNNNNNNNNNNNNNNNNNNNNNNNNNNNNNNNNNNNNNNCGGUGAGGUAGAAACGGGGCGUCGGGGUUGCCUGCCCCGAUCCAGAUCGGGACCAAGAAGAGGGGGCGCGAGGAGAGAGUGGGGGGGUCGGGGGAGAAUGUGGGGUGGGUCGUGGGGGUAGUUAGGGUUUGGGGUGUCGGGUAGUGGGGGUGGAUAAGGGAGCGGUGGUGGGCUGGCCGGUUGGCCCUUGCCAGGUUCGGCCGGCCUGGUGGGGUGGCCGACUGGGCCGGCUGGGUCGAGGCCCAGUGGGGGAAGCGGGGGUUCUUUCCCUCUUCUUAUUUUUAUUUGCUAUUUUUGCUUUCUUUCAGUUUCCUUUUAUUUUAGCUUUAGUAAAUUACCAAAGUGGCACCUAAAUAGAUUUAACAAAUUUAUGCCACUGCCACAAUAGUUUAAUACUUAUGACAAUUUAGUUUUGAAAAUGUUUAUUAUUUUUAAAGCAUUUAAAUAACUGUAUUUGCUACUGUUAUAUUCAUUUAGAGUAUUUAAAUAUUUUAUAAAAGUGUGGUUUCUCCACUAUAAUUACCUAUGCAUUAUUUGGCUCACUCCGAACAUUUUAGUUUUAAUACUUGAAAACUUUUAUUGUUUACUUGAUUUUGAAUUUGAAUUUGAAUCGGUUUUUGAACUAACGAGAGAUUAUCAACAGUAACCGAGGUGACGUGGCAUCCUUAGUAGAGGGUUACUGUAGUUUAAUUACCCGGGCGUCACAAAUCUCCUCCACUACAAGAAAUCUCGUCCCGAGAUUUAAGAGGUAGUGAAAGGGGGGAAGGUUCGGUUACGAAUCUAGCGGGUCUUCUCAUUCUGGCUUGCUCUUCUCGAAGAGAACCGGUCCAAUACAUUGAUGUCUUCAUUUCUCUGCUUCAGGUCCUUAUGAUGAAGUCGGCAUCUUUUCUUCGGGAUCUUCAUCGUAUUUACGAAUAGGUAACGGGGUAGAUCGAAAACGACAGAAUGCUAUAAGGGUAAUAACCUGGGAUUAACCCAUGAAUGAGGAUAUGAGUACCUCUCGAGUUGAACAAAUAGAACACAUCGAGAGUAAAGUUGGAAGGUCCAACAAGAAGUUUCAGGCAGCCAGGCAAUCGUUCAAUGCCUAGUCAGAAGGUGAAAGGGGUUUCAAGCAACGGAAUAAUUAUUGUUUUCAUUGCCAGAAUUGAUGAUCUCAUCGGAAGGUGGCUCAUGAAUUAUGUACGAGUCCACGCAGGAGGAAUAACUUUGGGAAUAGGGGGUGUACAGGAGAGUCAGGUUUCGGUCCUGGUGGAACUGUGGGUUAUGGGCCCACCAUGUGGGUUAAAAGUAGGAAGGGCGGUAAUGUCUCGCACGAUCAUUUAAGCAAGACAUGUCAGAGGAUAGCCUGUCAGUUAUGUCGACAACAACAUUGAUACCAAGGGCGAGGGACGAAGAGAACCAUUUUCCUGCUCGUUGAACAAGGCGGACCAAUAGGCAAAGUUCCCAUCCGUCGGUGGCUACCGAAAUGUCGUCAACACUAGAAACAGGGUCUUACUGACAAAGUUGUACAUCGAGGUGUUUGCACAAGCAGUGGAUUAUUACUGCUUAUAUCAUAUAGAUCAUAGAAAAGGUUUAAACAAACCAAUGGAAGGAAAAUAUGAUCAUCAGAUUAAACAGAACAAUGGAAAGGAAAAUAUGUUUAAACACAUAUUUCAAGGGUAUAUCCUUCCCAAGGACAAGCAGAGCAAGAUAUCCAUGACAGGAUAUAAAGUAGAAAACCAUUUAGGUAAGGGGGGGGGGAAGAAUCUCAUGAUAUUACCCAUAUAAUGGUGUUAGGAUAAAUGAUAAAUAAAAUCUAGCAUCGUGCUUCAAAUGUUCCUGUUGCAAAUCGGAGUACCAUUGACAUGCUUCGAGAUAGCAUUGACAUGGUCUUCAGGUGAAGAUCGGACUUUGGAAAGAACGAAGGAUCCAUCAGGAAUAACUUGUAGAAUAAGUCUUACAAUUUCCUCAUGGAUGAAUGGAUAACCUUGCUGAAAGGAAUCUAUAAUGAUAGGUCCUCCAGCCGGGGGGGGGGGUGCUAGGCAUGACAUCAUGUUACCGGGUCAUCAAAGGAUCAACAUCAUAACUCUUGGAAAGUUGUCCCCAACCAUCAUAUCUGACCGAGAUUCAUAUCCAAUUGGUGUCAUGAAACCUCAGACUCAGGGGGUCCGAGAGGAAAAAGGUGCAACACAAAUCGUCGAAAUGACAUUGCAAGAUCCUCGAGAAAUGAAUUAUGGGAGCGGGUUUCUGAAGCAAUAGUUCAUCAUUAAACCAAGGAGAGGACAAGGAGGUGUCUGGUGAACUCAACGGAAAUUCACCGAGAUUCCCAAAAGAUGGAUUUCCACAAUUAAGUGAACAAGGAGAUAACAUUUGUCAGAUCAAAUGAUAUAAGGAAGUAUGCUCGAGGAAAACAUACACAAUUAGACAUUGGUUGAAAGGUGCGCCCGAAAUAUGGGUUGGGUUGCACGACCAAUGUCAGAAUGGUGAUUCAAUAAUCAAUAGCCUAAGAAUGAACUUUCGACCAUUAACUAAAAAAAUAGGGUUGCUAGAAGGAAAGAAUCCAAACAACACCGUUCACUUGUUGGAAUUAAUACAGGGACCAAGAAAGAAUGGUGACGGUGAGAAGUAUUUCUACGUCAAGAAUUCUGAAGAGGUGGAACAGAUCUCAGAACAUUCUUGACAUAAAGGAUGGUAAUACUCCAAGGUAAAGACGAACAAAUGCUGGAUAACAAGCAUCUUAAGGUAUAACACAAAACACGAACAAGUUUGUGUUGAACGGAAGGCAAUAAAGUGGUCGAUGACAACACAAAUCAUCGAGGGCAAGGAUGGUAUUUCUCAUCAUGAAUCCGGUUGAUAUCCUGGAAGAGCUCAUAAGGUUGAUGAUGAUCACGACACAUUCGUCGAGAGAUUUCAUGAAGAUGUAAUCAAUUGGCGAUGACAUCAAGUCAAAGGAAUGAUGAAGCAAAAGGUUAUUGAAACCAUGGGUACGACACAAACUCGAAAUCAAGUUUGUUGGUCAAGGAGAAAUGGUAUGACGAGGAAGAUCGACGUAAGCUUAGCUGGUGCUCCUGGAAUAAGGACCAGGUAGCACAGUUAAAAUCAGCACGACAAGGAUAUAGCCAAACAGGCUAGGAAUGGCGUGAUCGGUUACAAACUCGUACUUAAAGAAGAUUAUCAAGUGUCGUUGAACCGUAAUGCAGACUCGGUUCAGUUAUCGGUGUCUUUGAGUGUUUAAUAACUCCGAGCCCUAAUCGGUGAGUAUGUAGUACUUGAUGAAGAACUCAUAAGAAAUUAUGCAGUUCCAAGAUAAUCUCGAGAUACCAGGUUGUAAUACUCGACGACAGAUCAAAGUAGAGGUUGGACUGGGGUAUUGCUCUAUAGAAGACAAGUGUUUAAACUUGCAUAGGGAAUGGUAUUUAAAGGAGAACAUGGUCGGAACCACGAUUGCAAAAGGCCAGAUCCCAGAUAUAAGAUGAACUUAUACCAAAGGAAUAAUUAAUUUAAGAGAAGCUUUAAUGAUAAGGUCUACAUCGUGUCCAUGGGCAUGAACACAAAGUUCAAGGUCAACUCCCACUUCUCCAAUGGAUAAUAUUUCAUUCACUUCCCACUUUCAAAGAAGUUGUAGUGUUGAAAUUUUAUCUGGCAAAAUACCAGAAGUGUAUGACUCGUGAAAACUUUCGAGUUCACACAUAUUAAGGAAGGCAUAGGUUCAACCCAUCGGGGCAUCUUAGAAUCAUAUACUAGAACCUUUAGAAGUAAUUAACUCAAGCUCGAAGGCAGAGCAUGGUUGAGGAAGCAGACGAUACAAUUUACCAAAGGCAUUAUGUAUCAGAGAAAAGGCUCACAAGGUUAUUGAAUAUGAAGGGCGUUGUCAGAUAAAAUCCAACAAAGGAUCUGGUGGUCCACAAGGUACCUGAUGUGAGCAUCGGUACUCAACCAGAGGAGGAAAGAAUGCAAGGAGAUAAGUUUAUAGAAACAACUGACUAACUCAAUUGUCAAAUGCAAAGGAAUUAUGAUCUCCAAAUCAAGGGAUCAGAAGCAAUGCUCUGAUUAGGGAUGGAUAAGUUGAAUAGCCCUAGGGUACAAUCAACGACAAUUGGACUAGUCGAGAACCAAUUCCAGUUAAAAGAAUGGAAGCUCAGCCGGAAAGGUAAAUUAUAAGGAUCAAUGAUGAUUGCGUGUAUUCGCAACAUAUUGAGUCAACAGACUCAAAAUGAUAAUGACAAGGAAUGUUAAGAAGGUUUCUAUACUUAUGGGAUUAAUCAUAAUGAAAGCAAACAAGAAAUUCCAGAGCAAUAGGUUGCUGAGGAUUUUCGGAAGAUCGAAUGGUAUUUUGAAGACUUUUGUGAAAUACAUGAAUCAACUGGGGAUGAGUGGAUACUCGAUAAGUGUGAGAAAUUAUUUGAAGGGGUAUUCAUGUGGCAAAGAACUGCUAGGCAGUAGGCACAAAGUAUUCUCGGAACAAUAGAGAAAACUUCGGGGUAUCUUCUAAUAACAAGAUCAAUGGGGGAUGAUCAUAUGAAUGGCAAGUGUAAGUAGUUUUCCAUACGGAUUUAUCGGUGGUCGGGAAUAGCAAAAGCGAUGGGCACAAAGUCUCGAGAGAAUAUCAAAGAGUAUCUCCGAAAUCUUCUGGUGCAGUCGGUGAUCAUCCGGACUGAAGGGCCCCUCCGGUAGAAAGUAUUUUCGAGAACCUAAAAGUUAGAAUUUAGUAAAAAUCGUUUAACCCGAAUAGAAGAGAGUUCAGAAUCCCAGAGUAAAGGUCGAGGAGUAAAAGAUCCUAAUACCACCCAAUGGCGACGUGGGCCCAUAAGGCACACAGCCAUGUUAGUAAAAGUUUUUGCAAUGUCUAGACUCGUCUUCGGCUAAGGAGUGUGGAAGGGGGAUUCCUACAGGCAGUCGGCUCUGAUACCAACUUGUGACGCCCCCGAUUCAAUCGUACACUAAUCAUGCACGCAAACAUGUACGAUCAAGAUCAGGGACUCACGGGAAGAUAUCACAACACAACUCUAAAAACAUAAAUAAGUCAUACAAGCAUCAUAAUACAAGCCAGGGGCCUCGAGGGCUCGAAUACAAGUGCUCGAUCAUAGACGAGUCAGCGGAAGCAACAAUAUUUGAGUACAGACAUAAGUUAAACAAGUUUGCCUUAAGAAGGCUAGCACAAACUGGGAUACAGAUCGAAAGAGGCGCAAGCCUCCUGCCUGGGAUCCUCCUAAACUACUCAUGGUCGUCGUCAGCAGCCUGCACGUAGUAGUAGGCACCUCCAGUGUAGUAGGAAUCAUCAUCGAUGGUGGCGUCUGGCUGCAGAGCUCCAGCAUCUGGUUGCGACAACCAGGUAGGAGGGAAAGAGGGAAAAAGGGGGGAGAAAGCAACCGUGAGUACUCAUCCAAAGUACUCGCAAGCAAGGAGCUACACUACAUAUGCAUGGGUAUAUGUGUAAAGGGCCAUAUCGGUGGACUGAACUGCAGAAUGCCAGAAUAAGAGGGGGAUAGCUAAUCCUGUCGAAGACUACGCUUCUGGCAGCCUCCGUCUUGUAGCAUGUAGAAGAGAGUAGAUUGAAGUCCUCCAAGUAGCAUCUCCAAGUAGCAUCUCCAAGUAGCAUCUCCAGUAGCAUCGCAUAGCAUAAUCCUACCCGGCAAUCCUCCCCUCGUCGCCCUGUGGAAAAGCGAUCACCGAGUUGUCUGUGGAAUUUGGAAGGGUGUGUUUUAUUAAGUAUCAGGUUCUAGUUGUCAAAAGGUCAAGGUACAACUCCAAGUCGUCCUGUUACCGAAGAUCACGGCUAUUCGAAUAGAUUAACUUCCCUGCAGGGGUGCACCAACUUACCCAACACGCUUGAUCCCAUUUGGCCGGACACACUUUCCUGGGUCAUGCCCGGCCUGGGAAGAUCAACACGUCGCAGCCCCACCUAGGCAAAACAGAGAGGCCAACACGCCGGUCUAAACCUAAGCGCACAGGGGUCUGGGCCCAUCGCCCAUAGCACACCUGCCUGUUGCGAGGGCGGCCGGAAGCAGACCUAGCCUAACAGGUGUUCCAGUCCAAUCCGGCGCGCGCCGCUCCGUCGCUGACGUCUGAAGUGCUUCGGCUGAUACCACGACGUCGGGAUACCCAUAACUACUCCCGCGUAGAUGGUUAGUGCGUAUAGGCUCGUAGCCAACUCAGAUCAAAUACCAAGAUCUCGUUAAGCGUGUUAAAUAUCCGCGAACGCCGAACAGGGCCAGGCCCACCUCUCUCCUAGGCGGUCUCAACCUGCCCUGUCGCUCCGCCACAAAGAUCCACUCGCGGGUGCUCCACCAGCCGACCCGACUUUAGUCUCCACAUGUAUCAUGUAUAAAGUAUAUAGUAUAUACCCGUGAUCACCUCCCAAGUGAUCGCGGCCCGAUAGUAUAGCACAACAGACGGACAAGAAUGUAGGGCCACAGAUGGAAAUACUAGCAUCCUAUACUAGGCAAGUAGGAAUACAUGUAAAGGUAUCAACAGAAGUAGUAAAGACAGGCUAUGCAUCAGGGUAGGAAUAACGGAAAGCAGUAACAUGCUACACUACUCUAAUGCAAGCAGUAUAGAGGAGAGUAGGCGAUAUCUGGUGAUCAAGGGGGGGGGCUUGCCUGGUUGCUCUGGCAAGAGAGAGGGGUCGUCAACUCUGUAGUCGAACUGGGCAGCAGCAGCGUCGGUCUCGUAGUCUACCGGAGAGAAAAGGGGGGGAAGAAACAAUGAAUACCAUGUAAACAGAUGCAUAUCGAUGCAUGACAAGACAAGUAACGAUGCUAGGCGGGCCCUAACGUGGUAUGAGGUGAUGCCGGUUAAGGGGGGAAACAUCCGGGAAAAUAUCGCCGGUGUUUCGUGUUUUCGGGCAGAGGAGCCAGAGGGGGAAAGCUGCGGGUUCGAUAGGUUAAGGGUGUGCGGCGGACGAACGGACUGCGUAUCCGGAUUCGUCUCAUCGUUCUGAGCAACUUUCAUGUAGAAAACAUUUUCAUUCGAGUUACGGAUUAAAAGAUAUGAUUUUCUAAAGAUUUUAUUAAUUUCUGAAUUUAAUUAAUUAUUUAAAUUAAUUCGAAAAUGGAAUUAUGACAUCAGCAUGAUGUCAUGCUGACAUCAGCAGUCAACAGAGUUGACUUGGUCAACCUGACCAAUGGGUCCAGUGGGACCCACCUGUCAUACUCUGAUUAGUUUUAUUAGGGGUUAGCUAAACAAAUUCGUGUUUAAUUAGACUAACAAGUUAAUCAGAUUAAUUAAAUAGGACUAAUUAACUUAAUUAAUUCACUAAUUAAUUAAUUAAUUAAUUAUAAUUUUUAUUGAUUCAUUUUUUUAUUUUUAAUAGUUCUGGGGGCUGGGCCCCGGCUGUCAUUGGCCCUAGGGGCCUAAGCGGGCGCAAGGGCUUGCGGGCGUGCGGGCUAACGGGCGCAGGGGCGCCUGGCGCGAGGCGAACCCAGAGGCUGCCCGGGCGAGGCCAUGGACGAAGCCGCCGGCGCCCACGACACCGGCCAGGAGAGGCGGUGGAGGGCCGCGGGUGGCACGGUGGUGGAGGUAGUGGUGGGGCUGGCCGGAGCGGCUCACAGGAAGGGGAGGUGAGGCGAGGCGCGCGGCGGGAGUGUGAGUGCGCGUGCGCACGACGGCUAUGGCCGCGGUCGUCGAGCGGGAACCCAGGGGAAGGAGGAGGAGAGGUGCUCACGGGGGGCGUGUAGGGUCCGGGGCAACGAGGGGCGAGGAGGAGGACGGAGACGAUGCAAUGGNNNNNNNNNNNNNNNNNNNNNNNNNNNNNNNNNNNNNNNNNNNNNNNNNNNNNNNNNNNNNNNNNNNNNNNNNNNNNNNNNNNNNNNNNNNNNNNNNNNNNNNNNNNNNNNNNNNNNNNNNNNNNNNNNNNNNNNNNNNNNNNNNNNNNNNNNNNNNNNNNNNNNNNNNNNNNNNNNNNNNNNNNNNNNNNNNNNNNNNNNNNNNNNNNNNNNNNNNNNNNNNNNNNNNNNNNNNNNNNNNNNNNNNGCCCCGAUCCAGAUCGGGACCAAGACGUGGGGGCGCGAGGAGAGAGUGGGGGGGGGGUCGGGGGAGAAUGUGGGGUGGGUCGUGGGGGUAGUUAGGGUUUGGGGUUUCGGGUAGUGGGGGUGGAUAAGGGAGCGGUGGUGGGCUGGCCGGUUGGCCCUUGCCAGGUUCGGCCGGCCUGGUGGGGUGGCCGACUGGGCCGCUGGGUCGAGGCCCAGUGGGGGAAGCGAGGGUUCUUUCCCUCUUCUUAUUUUUAUUUGCUAUUUUUGCUUUCUUUCAGUUUCCUUUUAUUUUAGCUUUAGUAAAUUACCAAAGUGGCACCUAAAUAGAUUUAACAAAUUUAUGCCACUGCCACAAUAGUUUAAUACUUAUGACAAUUUAGUUUUGAAAAUGUUUAUUAUUUUUAAAGCAUUUAAAUAACUGUAUUUGCUACUGUUAUAUUCAUUUAGAGUAUUUAAAUAUUUUAUAAAAGUGUGGUUUCUCCACCAUAAUUACCUAUGCAUUAUUUGGCUCACUCCGAACAUUUUAGUUUUAAUACUUGAAAACUUUUAUUGUUUACUUGAUUUUGAAUUUGAAUUUGAAUCGGUUUUUGAACUAACGAGAGAUUAUCAACAGUAACCGAGGUGACGUGGCAUCCUUAGUAGAGGGUUACUGUAGUUUAAUUACCCGGGCGUCACAAUGCUUGUGUUUAUUAUAUUGGGAUAUAAUACAGAGUACAUGUGUCUACCACAAGAUUGUUGUGUAAUAUUCUAAUCACCUAUCGACUAGCUAGCCUAGCCUCGGUUUAUAUAAUGCACCGGUGGCAUAGGAUAAUAGGAGUCCUAGUGGGCUACGUCAGUGGAGAAGAGUCCCCGUCUUGUCACUACAAAAAAAACAC